rnacentral:lncRNA from 1 species
UGUUUUUGAUGUUGUGGGCCUUCACAGAAACAUCUAUAGCUUGAUGAUGAACCAAACAGCACCUGCAUCCUUCUCUUGCCAAGAAGUCAUCUGCAUAACAUAUCCACACACUCAGAACUCCAAUAAAGAAAGACUUAAUCAUAGGCUUUAAGAUUCUGUGGGUUUGCAUAAAUUACUCAAUCCACUUUUGGUUUUUUGUUCUCCAAAAAAACCAAAAUAUAUUACCUAUUUAUAUGAGUACAAAAAUUGCCUCUCUUAUCAAACAAAGACUAUUAACCCAGAAAGAUCUGAGGGUCAUUUCCUUCUCAACAAAAUGCUGCCCUUGAGGCUUCUAGCAUGAUUGACAACUGGCCGCGUCUGCCGUAAAAACGGGAGACAAUAUUCAUCUCAAAUUGUUUAAACAAAAAUAAAAUGUCCUUUAAGCAAUAUAAUUCAAUAUAACUCAGGAACACUAUUUGAAUGUGUAUGGAUAGAAUUAGCAGCUAUCAAGUUUACAUAUGCAGAGUAGGUAGAGAGAUUAAACAUCUUGAACAUGAUCCACCAACAUUGAUGAUAUCCCACACAAGUAGAUAUCUACACACAAUCAUACAGACAAAUUGUGUACAAGUAGAGCAGCAUUUGCUUUCAGAUGCAAAUAAUGUCCUACAAGCACCUUGCAAUAAUCAAACUUCAAGCACUAGUAGCUCACUAUGCAUCUAAAGUUCAGGCAUUAGUAGAGCCUUAUCUUAGUUGUAAUAUGGCUUUGGCAUAUGGGGCAACGCUGCAAAUCUUUCCCACAGUCGAAACAAGUCUGAGAAAGAAGAAGACUCGGUCACUGCUUGAUCAGCCAAUUGAUUAAAAUAGCAACAAGAGCUUUUGACUUACCUGAUGUCCGCACCCAAAUGCAAAAUCCUUUGAUUUCCAUAGGCAAAUUGGACAGAUCUGCAAACCAACAAGUAAAAAAUCAUUUAGAAUUUUAACAACCGUAAACCACCAUAUUCAGAUUAUUUUUAAGGUCUGUUAGAAAGAGUAACAUUGUUCUAUCAGCAUCUAGAAUGUUAAGUUAAUAAUAUACUUGGAAGCAAAUGCAUCCAGUUAUUGUGUUUUUCUGCCAAUAAUGACUUCUUCACAACAUUCUACAGGUUUUUUUUUUUCAUAUAACACCUUUCAGGUAUAUUGCUCUUGUAUCACUAUUUGCAUUCUGUACCAGAAAAUUUCCCCUUAAUUUUGACCAUCUGACACCAGGAACAAACAAUCAAAUAUUUAUUGUACUUAUCACUUUUUAUGAACUCUUUGAUUUCUGUAAUAAAGGUACUUCUAUGGAUUCGGUGCUGAUGUGAUCCUAAAGUAGCAAGUCAGCAACUACAUAUUAUCAUAUGUGAUGCCUUGUUUCCAACUUCCAAGUGUCAUGUAGACAUUGUGCAAAUGCUAUGUCAAUAUCAUACAGGCGGCGUGUAAGCACAAAUUUCUCACACUUUUUAUGGAUUCUCUCGUGCCCAUUUGGUGUUGGUGUCCCUGACUUGGCACCUAUAUGUUUGCUAAGCUAUCAAAGGAACACGAAAUCAAGUCCGUAUCGCCCACAUGGGUGCCACGUUUUACCAAACAGGUGUCAUAAGUCACCACAUCAGUAAAAGUUCUGUUAAAGCAAUUUAAGCAAUUUCUUUAUGAAGUUUAGAAUACUUUUUUGGACAACUAAAGCAAUUGUCUAGGUCCUGAUGAAAAUAGUGGUGAAGAAGAGAAAGUGUGCGAGAGAGUUGUUCGUAAUAAUGCAUGACAAAGGAGUUAAAAGCAAAAAGUCCCAGCAUUUAUUUAAAUUUUUAUUUAAAACAACAAACAUGAGUCUCAGAAGAAGUAAAUAGCAAGUUUCAAGAGGACUGAAUUUUAAAUUUCAUUUUCUUGGAUCUGGGAUCUUCAUCACAGCAAAGCGUAAUCAAAUUUGAAAUAAUCAAAAUUAUUGAUACCAGCUUAUCCUCCAUAGAACUUUCAGAGGUGGCAGGUGGGUAGCUUCUGGUGAUUCCAGGACCUUGCUCAAAGCUACUUGACCGUGAGUAAGGGUUCCUGGUUGGUGGAGGAAGACAAACCCUAUCAGGAACUCCCCUUCGUUGACUGCAUAAUGCAACAGCAGAGUGCCAUGCCAAUAAAACAUUUGUACAUCAUUAACAGAAAUUUGAAAAAAAAAUUAUCCACAAACCCCAGAAGUUGAAGGUCUAUCGUUGCUUUAUACUGUGAGGGAAUUUCCAUCAGUGCAGCAAGUGCAAACUCUGUCUCCUUUCUACUGGCAGGGAAGUUUCUAGACAUUAUCUCAGUAAAAUUCACAAACUGCAUAGGACAAAAUGAAUUUAUGCUUCACCCUUCAAUUACUUUGAAUGCAAAUGAAACUUUCGUUAGGUGUAUCUUGGAACCUGGAAAUUAUCAUAUGCUCGGGAGGGUAUAUUGUCAUCAAACUCAUGCAUCAUAUCCCAUGGACCAUCUCCAACUCCAACAAGAACUAUUGACAAGGGAUAGUCACUAAAAGCAAAGAAAAUAAUGUCAGAAAAGCAUCUAAAUAAGGAAAAGGAAUAUCUUCACAGUCACGUAUCUGAUAAUUACCUUGCUUUGACUAUGGCACUGAGUGUAUCUCUCUCCUGUGGACUUAAUUGUCCAUAUUGUGUGUCUACGCUUCGUGUCACCUAUGCAACAAACAAAAGGGAACUGUUAUCGUGUGACACUAAAAUCAUUUGAAAACUAGGCAUCAAGUCCUACCAAAAAUGAAAACGAAUGAUGCAUCAGAGAGUAAACAACAUGCACUCUGGAUGUAGCAGUAUACAAGAAGAAUAUAUACAGAGAAAACUUAUCUAAAAGCAUUAGCUAACCUGCCCAUCAGCAAUAAUAAGUAGAACAUGGUACUGCCCAUGGGUGUUAUCGACAAUGCCUACGGCUGUUUCAAUAAUUGGUGCAAAGGACGUUGGCCCUGAAUGAAAUAUGUCGUGUUGGUUCCACUGGGAAUCAUAGAGAACUGAUCCAGAUCUGAGAAAAGAUUAAGAGUCAUACUGACCGGCUAGCCGAAGAUUUGGAACUAGUUCUCUGUAACGUUCAAGUGCUUCUUCAAAGCCAUUACACGGUCGGUUAUCUGGAUAAAAGCUGAAUACUUCCUGGUCAUGAGUGGAUGCUGCACAAUAAAAACAAUAAUAUAUUUCUAUCUUAGAAUUCCUUGGUCAUUUCCAAGACUAGAAGAGUUUAGAUUUAGCAUCAGGCUUGACAGCUAAAUUUAGUUACUGCAGAACAACAUAGUACGACUUGUCAAAUGAUGUAACUAAAUGAAUAUCUAUAACCAGCAUAUAAAUCACUGACCAUCACCAAACCCAAAGCAAGGAAUAAGAUUAUCUUCAUCAAAAGCAGAAAGUGUCUUUCCAAUAAUAGAUAUUGCCUGUUCAUUGGUUUGGAGUAUUCCCAAUGUCAUGUAGGCAAUGGCGGUUGAAAGAAACUUUACCUAACAACAAGCACAAAACAAUACAAUCAGUAAAUUCAAGGAGUAAAUGAAAAUCAUUAUGUUUAAUGAUAAAUGUGGCUCAAAUUAAACAUAAAAGGACAGAACUCAAAAAUAGAAAGUCUGCACAAUGAAAUAGUUGGUAAGUACCUAGAAUCAGCAAAGCUACAGAGGUUAUCGUUCUCCCAACAUAAAGCAUCUUAACAAUCUUAGGGACAAGGGUGACAUUUAAGAAUUUUAUGAUCAAUAUCUCAUAGUGGACAAAAUUUGCGUUAUGAAUAUCUCAAAGUGGAACUAAUAAGAAGAAACUCAAGUUGUAUUUUUAUUGUCUGAGAAGAAAAACACUGUGAUUGAUUUUAUUUGUAAAUUAAUAGCCAGCUAUGUAUCUCAAGCAUGUACUAAGAAAAAGGUGAAACGUGGGAUUUGUGUGUCUGAACCUGUCCAUUCAUUGCUCUUUGUAAAAUCAAUUCCCACGAUAAGAUUUGAUGAUUCAAGACCUGCUUCUGCAAGCGCCUCAGUAACCUAAACAAAAUCACAAAUGUACCAUUCUCAGAUUACUCACAUAACUAAUAUGGAUCACUUGAUCUUACACCUAAGAUUUACUAUAAAACUGAGAAGUAAUUGCAGAAUGAACUGAGAUCACAGUGAUAAAACAAAUGAGAAAAAAAAAAUUAGAUAGUUACUUAUAUUAACAGAUGAAUUAUUACUUUCAUGAUCUAAAUAUAAUAUAGUUCAAACUUGCACAGAAGUAAAGAGAAAAUUUGUUUUAUCAUUGAUGUACUAUAACAAGCAAAGAAGACAAACAAUAGCAGUGAACAUUUAAAUUGAUGUGAAUGCACUCUAUCAAUAGAUAUGCAAGGUGCUAAAUUGCAGCAGCUACUUGAGUAAUAGGAACAUAUAAAGUGUCACUGAACAAGAAAAAAGGCCUUUUAAUAUUUAAAGGACACACACACACACACAUAUGUGUGUGUGUGUGUACAUAUAUAUACAAAAGGCAAGUUGGUCCAAAUUUGAGCAAAAGAAAUACACUGUGAAGAAAGCAUUACAUUGUCUUCAUGGUGGUGGUCUAUACUUUGUAACUUGAUUUCUUAAAAUAACCUCAAAAGGUUUCUACCUAUUAGCAAAGCAUCAAUCUCUAAGAAAGAUUGUGUACAUAGUGUUCAAGAGAUAUACACUAAUGAAUGCCAUUUGCUGUAUGAUUUAGUGUUGAUUAAUGAACUAUGAAGAUCAAAUUUUGAAGUAGCAUUGCUGUUUCUGAAAACAAAAACAAAAAAACAAAAGUCAUAGCAAAGCCUACAUAUUGUUAUGAGGAAAAAGCUAUUAAGAAACAGCUAUUAAGUUUUCAGUUAAUUGGUCAACUCAAGAGGUACCUAUGGAAUGCGUUCCAAUUUGGAGACUUGGAGAAGCUAAUAAAAAGCAUUACGGCCAUAUGUGAUGAAUGGUUGAUAUGUAAAGAGUCAGGUCAAACAGAAGCAUAUAACAGAAAUGAGAAUACCUAAGAUUCAUGUCUUAGGAACCAGGAAUACAUAUUCGGCAAUGGUGAAAGGAAUGUGGCAGUCAUUGGAAAAUCAUUUGAGCCGCACGGUUAUUAUCAAUGAAAAUCUCAUAGAAAAGUAAGAGUGUGACCAAGGGCAACUUGAUAGGUCCGGAUGACAAGCUGAAAGGUAACAAGCAUUAAAAUUGUAUCACAUCUGAUCCAUCAAAAGUGAAAAUAACACUAGAAUUCUUCGAUAGGUGUAACAAUUACUAUGAAACAAUAUAGUAUCUCUAAUUGCUAACGGAAGAACAUAAUAUAUUUAAUCCUAAGCAUCAUUUAUUAUGGGGAAACUUUUUUUCUAAGGAAGAAUGAGUGUGAUAAAUUAGAUUGCAUAAGUUGAACAUAUUGGAUAUAAAAUUUUGCUAGGUGAAUUUUGAUAAACUUUUGCUGCUACCCUUUUCUUUAUAUGUAAACUGUGACCACCACUUCUUUCUUCAUCAUUCUAUGAUGUUCCUUGAUAUGUACAUCCAUCACGACCGUUUUCUAGAAGUGGCAGUUAGUUUCAACUGUCAACCAAAACUGAAGAAACCAAAGAGACAACUUACAAAAUAGCAAGUUUUAUUAUUCAAGAUAAUUAGAGAAGAUCAUAUUGCUAACUUAUGCUAUUUACUUGAACAUUUACAAACUGGAGAACUGGAAAAAAAGAAAAAAAAAAAAAAAAGAUGGCUUCUGCAUUGACUAGCAUACUUGACUGAGUGUUUGGUAGUCAUCAUUGAUCCUUGAAUACUUUCUUUGCAAUCUGUUUACUGUUUCAGGCUGCACAUAAUUUGAAGCAGCUGGAGAGAACCUUGGAGCAUAGCUUGAAGAAGAAUGGCCAUAAUCAUAAGAGUCGCGAUAAGAACUGUGAUGUUUGGACUCUCCCCCUCCCAUUGUAACAGUUCCCACUCUUGGAAACCUUCAGACACUAAAUCUCUAAGUUAUCCUUUAAAAAAUUUUCAGAUGCUACAGAUUUCUAAGGAUGGAUACCUCCUUCAAAUGCUGAUCUGGCACAAAAGAGCAAAAUUUUAAAUUCUUUCCAAACCAACCAAAACGUGUGCUAAAGAAACAAGAGUUUGGCUUAUUUUUCUAGAAGGCAGUAGUGAAAACCAUAAUUCAUAAUUCCAUCCGAAAAAUUCAUUGCCACGGAAAAGUAGGGCACAUAUGUUCAUUCAUGAAACUGGAUGACAAAAUCUAACAGCAACCUUUUUCAGUACUAUGUUGAAUUGAAAGAACAUUGAAUGACUAAGUUAACAAAAUUCUGCAUUAGUCUGCACAUCAGUAUACAAAACUAGCCACUAGCAUUUAAUGCGAAAAAAAACCUUGAUUCCACCUCAGAAUAACACCCCCAAGUUACGAGGAAAUAGAAACAAAUGCGAUUGGAAACGCAAAGCAUUUAAUAUAUGCUGGUAAGGUUAGUCAUCCAGAUUCCAGGUUCUAAAAAACCAUCCGACAGAGAUAGUAAUGGAUAGUCAUGGGAUUGGCAUUAAUGAAAGCAAGUAGUUAGCUAGGGAAGCAUCAUAGAGUGACAAAUCAUUCGAUCAAGAAUUCAUCAAGAGAAUCAAACUCACUAAAUUAAAUUAUACAUCAGACAAGGAGCAAUAAAUUGAGAGAAGGAAGAAAACCAAAUUUAAUAGGCCGAAUGAUUGACUCAUGACCGACAAGUACUUACAUCUGCUUAUUGGUAAAUAUAUGUAAAGCUUCUAGCGAAACACUGGAAGAGAUUCAUACACGAUUUUGCCUUACAAUCGAACCUGAAAUAAUAUUUUAGUCAACCGCAAAAAAAAAACAGACAGCGAAAAUUCAAACAUAACCCAAGAACUAAGUUCGAUCGGCGUGUAUCAAAAUGAAGGCAACCGCAUCAUCUUGUGCCGAGUAAAAUUUGAUCGACUGAACCUUACUUCAGCUCGGUAAUCCACAGCACCAAACUGACAAAUCAAUCGUUGAAAAUAUCCCGAAAAUCGAAAAUUUUUCAUCAUCCACUAACUUUUAGAACGACAACGACAACAAUUACCAGUAAAGAAAAAGACGACAUUGCGCACUGCGAAAAUAAAGUUGGAUUCUCACACCAUUCCCUACCAAGAUUUAAUCUUCGAUCGAAUUGUAAGACUACUCAAGGAUGUGAAAGACAAGAAACUACUAAAACCCAAAACAGUGGGAAAUCAUGUUCUCAGCCCAAUAAUUGCAACUCACGAAACAAAUCCGAAGACAAAACUCACCAAAAAAAGGGCUUCGGGAGAUGCGAUUUUAUCCACCAGCCAGGAAUAUGUGAGCCGCGUCAAUCGAAGAACUUCAAUCGACCAACAGCAGAACGCUAUACCUCCACCACUAAGCCUCGUAGGGGGAACCAACAACAGCCGAACGCAAUUCCUUCACCGGUAAGCCUCCGAGCGACAGUCGUUAAGACUCUUAUUAAUGUCCAUUUUUAUUGUCUGAAACGAAAAAUGGGUAUCUCGCACACAAUCACAACAGACCCAAAACGCACCGGAAUCGGAUUGGGUACAAUGACGUAAAAUGAUGUCGUUCAUCCAAUCUUAAAGCAGGGUUGUUUUAUUGGUAUGCCCAUCGGGGUUACAUAACCGAAAACAUUUCGGGGUCAAGUCAAUAAAAGCGGGCAUAUUAAAUGGCUUUUGUAUCGGGUUGGGGUGGACUAAAUACCUGCGUUGACUCGCUCCCCGGCGGCGUUGACUCGGGAAGUCGUCGGAAAUAUUAAACCACGAAAUUGCCCCAUGUUAACAGUAAACGUCAACCCAUUGUGGCCAUGUGAGUUGCCCAAAGGGACAGAGCACUGCGGGCAUACUCGUCGGAGGGUUGGAUCAAUGCCACUUCUCCAUUCGGCACUGCAACACGCAAUCACCAGAUGUUUGUUGUUAUGUACCGAUCCCUUCAUGUUAAGAUACGCACGUCAUCGUCGUUGUCAUCGAUGCGUAUGUCAGCGUCGGCUUUCUCUUCUCAUCAUCUGUAUUUUGUGAACGCAUUUGGCAUUUCAGAGGUUGAUAUGCCAAAGGAAUGGCAAAGAUUGCUAUCAUUGGCUCAGAUAUCGAUGUAUGAUCCGAAUGACGACCCGAUCCGCCUAUUCUUUCCGGAUCCGGAUCCGGAUCCGAUCCUCUUACAGCCGCUGUUGGAGCUUUCGGAAACGGUUCUGACCUGAUGGCAGCCAUUUCGUCGUCUCUCCACCUGCUCAACGGUUCAGAUCUCGCUAUCAACGGAUCAUGGAUAUGGAUCAUUCGUCUGAUCCGAAUCGCAACCCGAUCCGACCCUCUCACGGUCCUCGUUGGACCUUUCGGCUCUGGGAAUCAUUUGUGAUCUGAUGGCUGUGAUGUCGUCGUGUUUCCAACUACUCAACGGUUCAGAUCUUCCGAUCAAUGGAUCUUGGCUACUAAAACCCUCGAGCCAAACCCUCCCAAUUCUAUUGGAGUCGGCUCUUUCUCCCUCCUCAAACCGGAAUUGUUAGUCCUGCAGAAUCGGUAGGUAUGCUUCUCUGUCUUCUUCAUCUGUCGUGCGAUUUCUCGUUGAAUCCGUUGCAGUUAUUCUCCUUCUCCUGCUUUUCUGGUUAAUCCCUCUUCGCUUUUUUGUGCUUCAAUCCUUUGCUAAAUUUUUCCGAUGGUUUAUGGAUAUUUUUAUGGAAAUCGCUACUUUUCCUUCUUAGUUAGCAUUUAAUUUGUCAUAAUAGGAAGAACUUCAUGAUUUUAGACUAAUUUAUUUGCUUUGUAUUAUCCUCACGGCGUCCUCUCUCUUGUGAUCUAAUAAAUUGCUUAGUUUGUCCGAUUCCUUAAUGUACAUCCUAAAAGAUGGGGCUACUCAUUGUUCUCCAAACGACAGUUGGAAAUUUAAAGCGUGUUAGUUCUUCUCUUUGCUUUUCAGUUGCACAGGCGUUUUUUUUUUUGUGAUAAAGAACAAAGAUUGAAUCUAUGUUUUUCCGAGUUUUAUUUACUUGCUGAUUUCAAAUUAUUGCAUAUUGUUCUUACAUGUGUGGUUUCUAGUAUAUUUUGUAAAAUUUUCAUGCUUCAUGAUAACUUCCUUGAUUCUACUGAAGUACCAAGAAGACGCCUUGGUUGGAUAUAUUUAAAUUUUUCCACAUUUAUAGCCUAUUGUUCAUUGACUUAUGUUCUUAUAUGAUAUUGUUGGGUUUUCAGAAUGGCAUGCUGUAGAAGUGCAAAGAGUCUCACACGGUUAAUACUCAGCGAAUUGAGUGUUGGUAGGCAGCCCAGAAAGGGUUAUUUUUUUCGGGCAUGUAUAGGGGAGCCAGCAGUUAAGCCAAGAGGGUUGGUAAACUUGAAUGCCUCAAGACAAGUGCUUUUGAGAAGGUUUAGCACCGAAGUGUCAGCUACUGAGCAGAUUAAUCUCAUCAAACAGUUGAGGGAAAGAACAAGUGCACCUAUUAAGGAUGUCAAACUUUCUCUUGUUACUUGUAACUGGGAUCUAGGUUUGUUGCCAUAUUACUCUGUCUAAUAUCCAUUUUAUUUAAUGUUUUUUCUGGUCAUUAUCUCUACAUAAUUGCUUUGCUUGAUAACACAGAGGCUGCACAGAAGGACCUUAGAAAGAGAGGGGUGGUUCUUGCUGCAAAGAAAUCCUCAAGAACUGCUGCCGAGGGUUUACUUUCAGUGGCACAGACUGAGAAAAAAGCUGUUGUAGUUGAACUCAACUGUGAGACAGACUUUGUAGCAAGAAAUGAUGUAUUUCAAUACCUGGUUAGUAUUCAUUCAACUUUGGUGAAAUCACUAGAUUUUGUACUAGCCCUCCACAAUGCUGUCAUGAUAUUGACCAUGUGGAUUUUUAUGAUUUAGCCAAGGAGUGGGAUGACUGUAAACUAGAGAUGCUAGACAGGACAAUGUUCCUAAAUCUCAGUUUUAAGUAUGUCAUAAACUGUUUACAAAAUGAUGUUACAAUUUCUUAAACUCUUUAUCUUGCAAGAUCAAGAUAUUUGGAGUUCUCUCCCUAAAUUUUCAGCUAAUUCAGUAGCUCCAUUUAGAUGAGGUUAGUUCAUGAGAAUAUUCCUCUCUAAGUUUUGUUUCCUAGUAGACAAACAUCUUUCCUCUAGGAAUGCAUGUUUCCCUUCUUCUAUUUUACAUUAAAGUCUUUUAGAUGGAUGCAUUUAAGGUAUUUAAUACACAAAAUUCAGUAAUUUAGACUAGUAUCAGACAGCAGUUAUGCCUGGUAAUAUUCAAGACAGAUAAAAAUUAGUUGAUUUCAGACCCGAGGACAUGGUAGUAUAAAAGCAACAUUUUGCACCUCGACAUUGACUGCCAGAAGUUAUUUAAAUUACCGUUUGUUGUACUGCUAGAGUUGGUAUGGUACGAACACAGACUGGUUCGAAAUCGAGAUGCGGAUCGCUGGAGUCCCCAUCGGCACACCUCAACAUACUGUGUAUUGGUACACCGGUAUAUACCGAUCCGACAAAUCUCUAAGAUGGGUCCGGUAUCCGAAAUGGCGAACCCUGAUUUAAAUAUCAUUUCUCCACUAGAAAUUAACAGUUGGAUUUCCUCAAAUGAAAUGCUUUCCUUCUUAAACCUCAUUCUUUUUGUUUUCUUUUUUUGUCAUGCUAUGGUGCUUGAUCUUCCUUCCAUUUGCAAAAUUUAACUUUCCUCUUGUUGAAUCAAAUUCUCUCUUUUCUAACCAAUAUUGUAUUGCAUAUCCCUUUAAUUUAGGGAUUCAAUAUUCAUAUGCUUGAAGCCUCAAAAAUCCGAUUGCAUGAGGACAUUGAAACUUCAUUUUGUUGCCUUAAAGAAAAGAUUUCCUGAAAUUCUUACACCCAAUUGCUUGUUGUGCACUUAUGAAAGGUUAGAAGGUGUAAUGAUGAACACCUAGAUCAUUCCCAAAGAUUUUUCUUGAACUUGUCUUUCCCAUUCCAUGUAUCAUUGUCAAUUUGUCAGUACAUACUAAAGCGCAGGACCUCAACUACUGGGUGGGGAUCACAUCUCUGUAUUGCGUUACUGAGACAACUUGAGAAGGAUUGGCCUACAUCACCAGAAUACAACAGCAAAGAAGAGCAUAAAAUCCAUCUAUCAAACAUGUAGAAACUGGCAACAAAAUAUUUAUUUAAGUCUAUCAAAUAUGUAUUCAGUGUCACUUUACUUUUGCUACUUAGAAAGUUUGAAUCCCUUGAGGCAGAAUGUAUUUGCUGCAUGAUUCAAGUUAUAUGCCCCAGUUACAACUUUUUUCCAAGAUUAUUUAAUUUUUUGUUGUAUGGUCAUUGAUUUCUGGUGAGCAGUACAAACUUUUUCUUCCUAUUUCAGGCUUCGUCUUUGGCAAAGAUAGCUUUAUCAGCUGAAAGUUCAAUGGUGCAAACUCAAGAAGCUUUUAUAUUUGGACCUGAAUACUUGGAGGUACACAUGUACAAAUGCACUUAUUCUGAUGUUGAUCUUAGUUUGUGACAGUAAGAUUUAUAAUUGACCAAGAAAGCUGGGAUACCAUUCCAGACACACAUAGCUGCCUUGAGAACUUAUAACAUCUGUCACUUUGAAGCUGAUAUAAAUGCUCUUUAUUCUGACAAGCAGAAAAAUAAUUGAAUUUACUAGUACAACUACAAUAUGAAAAGGCUAGACGAGAUGCUAAAGUUGUCUUACGAAAAAGAGAAGGAUGCUACAUGACAUAUGAUUCUUUCUGCAAAUUUUGCCUGUUCAUGAGGAUCCGAUUUGGAAAUCCAACUUUUCUGAAUCUUGUUUGAUAGGCCAUUUGUUUUUUUUUAAUCUUUUUUAAAUACUUGUUCCACCUGGCCAGCAGCUUGAAUAGUAUAGUAUUUUUUUCUGUAUUAUUUAAUAAAACAAGUUCUAGGAAUGCCAAAGGUCAUAUGUGACUGUAAUUAAUGGCAAAUAUAGGUAGACAAAUAAUAUAAAUGCUCUUUUUUUCUUCUUCAUUUCCCCUUCUAAUAUCAAGCAUGCAAGUUGUAUGUAACCAUGAAACCAGCUUCUGUUCGAGUUGAGUGUUUUCCCAGAUAACCAUAUAAUUUCCAUGUGUUAUGAAGUUUGUGUGAACCUUAUAGUACUACCAAACCAAUGCAAGAGAUACAGAAAAAAGAGAGUGAAGGGAAGUAAAAUUAGGGAAAGAAAAAAGGAAGAGAGAGGCUGAUGGUGAUCGGAUAUUUGUCCGGUUCUGGCUCAUUAAGUAUGAGUCUUAUAUAUAGAAGAAAAGGCUUAGCUUUACAGAAGGAAGAAAUUUAUAUGCAUGGGCCAUCUUUGUCAUGUGCAUAACAAAAACGAGCGUAAUCAGAAAGGGCUUUAUUCAUGAACGGUUAUCCUACACAAAGAAACUGAAGAUAAAUCAAAUAUUGACGGUAUCUCCAAGGUCAUUUUUGCCAGUGUGGAGACUGUUUCUAGUUAAUGCAUUGAUUUUGCUAGAGCAAUUCUUUUUUCCUGCUUUAGCACUUUUUGCUUUCCUGCUUAAUGUUUAUUUGACACUGUUUUUUAUUCUGGCUCCUAUGGUUUGUCAACCACAAUAGUGAGGAAGUGGCCAAUCAAUUGGCCUCAAGAAUAAUUCCUGAUGAUGAUACCUAGUCUGCUUUCUCUUUUUGCCACAGAGCUGUGUUCUUGUUUCCAUACUAGCAACAAUCAUGGAACUUGCACUGAUUGUAUAUUAUAUUAUUGUUUACCUAAUCCAACAUAAUACAUCUAUGAGAACCAAUAUGAGACAGUUUGAACAGAAGAUUCUAGUGAAAAAAUGUAUUUUAUAUCAUGAUUCUUUUGUAAUUGGUAUUUGGUAUUCUCUUUUUGGAUGCUUAAUUAAUGACGAAAGUUACUGUAUUAUAGAACAUGAAGAUUAAUUUGGAUCAUCCAAAAAUUUCUGGAGAAACUACAGUGCAAAAUGCAGUUACAGAAGUUGCUGCCAUGGUUGGGGAGAAUGUGAAGAUUAGAAGAGGUUAUGCAUUGUCCACAUCUUCACAUGGUGCUGUCUUAUCUUACCUACACACAUGUCCCCAACCAGGUAAGCCAAUAGUAGACUAUUUUAACAUUUUUGAACAAGCUUUAUUGGAUUUAGGAAGAUGUACGAUUCACCUGCAUACGUGGUUGGCAAUAAAUAAUGUUUGUUUGAAUUGGAGUUAGGAAGUGCAACCAAUAUGCAUUAUAACACAACAAAGGCACUAUAUAUGAUCUCAUGAUUGACUCACUAUUUACUAUUUUUAUAAUAUGUAGUUGUUUGCAUGAUUUGCAAUUUUCGGAGUACUGGUCUUUUUAAUAAGGGUGACCAUAGGUAAGGCUGUUUAUAUUGACCCUUUACAGAUUUGAGGGAGCCUCGUUCACUGGGUUUGCCUAAUACACAUAUUGUGCAUAUCUUUUUGCUAACAGUUGUUUCAUUUGUUGCUCCUUCCAUUUGUAUCAAUGAAAGAACCAUCUAGGUUGCAUAUCAUCUGACAUACUGCUGAUAGACACAGCAGUGGAUGGAAAGGUUUGUCUGUCUAACUCACAUACACUUGUGAGAUUCAAUAUCUACCUUCUCACAUCUCUAACAGAGAAUGAUGAUGGGAUCCUCUUGAAAAAAGAGAAGAAAAUGCCCUCAGCUAUAUAUUUUUGCAACCCAGUUCUGUUAUUAUAGUUUUUGAUCCCGGAAACUCAUAUUUUGAGGAAAAUAGAGGCUCUCAUAUAUUGUAAUAACUAUUUUUAGAAAUUACUGUCUGAAUAUACCUAAAUGUUGUAUUCUUAUUGUUGAUGGUUGUGGUCGUUGAUGCUAUUAAUGCUAGAUGUAUUUUGGAUUAGCUACCUUCAGAUUGACAUGAUUAUCUUUAAAGUUUUGUUAGACUCUACACUCCUGCAAUGAUAAUUUAGGUUUUAAGGUAUACUUAUUAAGGUACUGAUUUUAGUCUUUAAGUGUGUUGACUCAUUUCAAAAAUUAAAUUUGAUGGUUGACAGUUAAAUAUAGUAUUUUACCAGCAAGUCAUGUUUGUUGAUUAGUGUUGAUAUCAUGCUUCAGUAUCUAUAUUGUGCUACUUAUGUUUGGACUUAAUUUUUUUAUGAUGGACAGUUUUGAUCUUUUAGUCAUGCUUAAAGCUAGAUCAAAUUUCAUAGCAGCUUGGGAGGUGAACAUUAUCAGAGUUAACAUGGUUUAUCAUGAUGUAGCUAUUUGUUUCUCUUCCAGGAUUGGGCCGCAUUGCUGGAUUGUUGACACUGGAGAUAGAAGAUGGCAAUGCUUCACUUGAUGCUCUUCGUGGGGUUGGUUCGUCAUUGGCAAUGCACAUAGUGGCAUCGAAGCCUUUGUUCUUGUCUAAAGAACUUGUUCCUUCUGAGGCUUUAGAGAGUGAGCGUGACAUACUUAAGGCACAGGUAGGUAAUUAUCCAUAAUUGUAGAAUCAAAGAUUCUGAACUCCAUCCAUGUGUUUCUUAUUCAGACUACGAUAUUGGGACAAGAGCCACUUGUGUGGAGAUAAAACUUCUUUUAGCUAUGAUCCGUACUCUUUGUAGAGUGUUCCCUUGUUGUUGGUCCUCGAUACCGUUGACAAUUCUAUAAUCAGAUUGUUUGAUUCUUCUGAUUACAUUUUAUCAAUUUGCCAAUUCUGUGGUCUCUUUAUAUCAACAUUCAUUUGUGUGAAUAAUAUGUGUGUGAACAAUUUUAAUUUUACUUGAUUGGAAAUUAAUUUGUGAGAAUAUCCAUAUUUUGAGAAAAAGAAUUUAUAUAUGAUUGCUGCUAUUCUGAGAAAAAUAAUUUACUUACCAUUUCAACAACAAAGAAAAAAAAUCUGUCACUAGGUAUGGGGAGGUUGUAAAUGUGCAGUGGGACCCUUCGUGAGGGGUUUGGGAGGUUGCUUUCAUGAUUUGAACUAAUUUACCAAGGUUGCAUCAUCUCAGUCUUAUUAUUGUGUCAAGACUGGGCCCCGAAGUUAUAAAUGAAGCCAAGCAUAUACUUAGUUACAAGCAUACUAGGUAUAAUAAUCAUAGUGCUAGUGCCUUUGUGCAAGUCGCUUCCUUUCGUUGGCCUAACAAUUUUUCGCAAAAAGAAUAUACCAUAAUGGCCACACAAGAAGCAUUCUGCUGUUGCUUGUUCAUUGUUAUCUAUGUUCCUAGUGCCUUGUGAAAUCUCUGUAGUGUUUAUAAGCAGUAAUAUAUUUUGGAUUAAGUUUUCAUUUUUAAGGUAUAUUCUCUUGUUGUCUUCUAAUUUAACCUUGAAUAUGCAUCUUAAUAUAGUCUUUGUAGUUUUUCAUCUCCUACUAGACCUGCUAGAUGUCUAUGUUGCUAUGUUCCAAAUUUUCUAUCAGCCAGUUAAGUUGUUUUUUUCUCUUUUUCAUAUCAGGCAGAAAGUUCAGGAAAAUCUCAGAUGGCCGUUGAAAAGAUGGUGGAAGGCCGUAUGAGGAAAUACUAUGAAGAAGUAGUCUUAUUGGAACAGAAGUUUGUUAUGAAUGAUAGUGUCAAAGUGAAGGUAAUUAAGGGUUCAGACUUUAGACAUCUUUUAUUGGGUGGUUCUGUUUGGGAUCUUUUUCACAUAUAGUAUUUGCAGAUAUUGCUUACCGUUGAUUUAAUUGAGGCUUCCAUCUGUAGUCAUUCACCUUAUUUUGGAACCCUAAAUCAGUUCAGGCUUUAAUAUUAACUUUGCGAGGGUAUUUUUCUGUGUGUGAAAUUUCACAUUGGUUUUGAUGGUUUUGUCUGCAGUCACUGCUGAAUGAUUUAUCAAAAGAAGUUGGUUCCUGUGUAAAAAUUGGCAAUUUCCUCAGAAUGGAGGUCGGAGAAGGCAUCCAGAGGUAGACGUUGUGUUGAAUUUUUGUUUUACAAUACUAAAUCUUCUUACUGUAAGCUGGGUUUUAAAUAUGUUGAAAUUCAUUAAUAUUUUUUUUACAAUUUUAAUAUUUGAAGUUAUUUUAUUUCUUGGAAGAAGCAUUUAAAUGUUUUCAACUGUAUUUUUGAAGUUGCAACUACAGAGCAUCAACUGAGUUUCAGUUGCUCCGAAGGGGCCAUAAGCAAAUAUUGCAUGAUAAAUGAUGUGAUGAGGACAAUCACUUAUAAACUGAACUGGAGCAACAUAGUGAACAUGAGAUAAGAUAAUUGUUUUUAGUUUUUGCAUUCUUUAAUAGGAUUGAUUCAUGAGGAGCUCCCACAUGAGAUCUUUGUGGUGUUUUCAAGGGUUUUGCUCCCUUCGAUUCUUUUGAAGCCAGCGCAAACUGUAUGCAAUCAUGACAUGUAAUUAUGGAGGGUCCAUGGAAAGCAGCCUCAUUAUGGGCCUUCCGAAUCAACCACCGAUGCAAUCAAGGCUGUUAAGAUCAACUGAGCAUUAUGAUGAUCAUUUCCUUUCUUGAGCUAUUUCCCAACAUGUCAAUGCUCAGAAAAGGAAGGAGUAACAUCCAUGUUCCUCUUAUGGAGGGUCCAGAUUAUUUUAACAAAAUGACAGUGAAGAAAAUAUGAUUAACCCCAUCCUACUUAUGCCCACAUAAACUUCAUUUCUUAGGUACAGUGAGACAGGGACUAACAAUAUAUUCAGUGGUAGGUAACUGUUUAUGUGAGGGUCUCUAGCAAAAGUGAAGAACACAAGGAACAAAGAACUACAAGGAUCUUCCAAAGUAUCCACCAGUCCUUAUUUCUCGUUCUGUCAUUAGCAUAGUGUUGAAUAGAUGGGAAUGAGCAGCAUUGGUUGAUAUUGCCCUUUGGAAUGAGAUUUCCAAAUCCACUUAUUCUUAUAUAGACAAUGGGAUAAAUCAAUUCCAAAGAUAGAUCUGGAUAAGAUAGUACUAAACUUCAGCUUAGUUGGUUGAUAUUGCCCUUUGGAAUUAGGUUUCCAAGUCUACUUAUUCUUAUAUGGACGAUGAGAUUAAUCAAUUCCAAAGAUAGAUCUGGAUAGGAUAGUACUAAACUUUAGAUUAGUUGGUUGAUAUUGCCCUUUGGACUUGGUUUCCAAAUCCACUUAUUCUCAUAGGGACAAAGUGAUAAAUCAAUUCUAAAGAUAGGUCUGGAUAGGAUAGUACUAAACUUCAGAUUAGUAUUGCGCAAGUCCAUUUCCUAUUUUGAAUCAUAUUGGAUAAGGUGUAGUCCUGAACGAACAUAAUAUUUACAGAAGUAGGAUUCAGAGAAAUGUGGGUGUCAAAAAGCCAAUUAUCUGUCCUGAUAUUGAUGGAACCUACAAGUACCAUCACCAAUGAUAUAAGAGAAAGCAGGAUGCAGAUGUUCCAUGGCUUUUAGAAAAACCUCCAAGACCAACAAGUUUUGCGGUGAUACUCAAUAUUCCAAGAAUGAAUUCCAUCAUACUUAGCAUUAACAAACUCUGGAACAAACAUCAUUAGCCUGAUUAAGGCAGGUUAAGUUAGAUUCACAUGUGGGAAAUCAUAUUCUUAUCCAUGCAAUAUUUAAGAAUUAAAUGUGAUCAAGCAGUAUUUAUUUUAUUAGGUAAAAUGGUGUGGUUAAAUCUGUAACUCUUAAUUGUGGUCAUCAAUUUAGCUUUGCUUUGCAUUUCAAGUCUGUCUUUGAACACAUUGGCAUUCACCCGGAACUAUUCUGUUGUCAAGCUUUUUUGUUCUGGCUUGCUUACUUCUUCAAGCAAGAAAUUAAGGAUAUUAGAAUUACAGAUGUGUCCUUAUUGCUGUUUUUAAGCUACAGAUUUAGGUUUGGUAAGAACUGCAAAGAUUUAUACACCUGCAACAGGUUGUAAUGCAUGAUUGGAAAAUGUUAGCCGGCUUCGUCCAUUCUUAUCUGACAUGUUUGUGCAGGAUGAAAGUUCUUUAGUAGUUGGAACUUUUUGUACAAAAUAUUGGUAUAUGAAAAAUGUUUGUUGGUGGUUUUGUUUUUGUCAGAAGAACCUAGUUGCCGGCAAUGGUUAAUGAAUCAUACAAGAAAAAUGAGGAUACUCAAAGGAUACUAUCACCUCUUAUGGUUUCUAUGUGAUUGGACUUUGUCUCCUUUGUUUAAAGCUUGUGCCUAAAUUAUCUCCUAAAUGCAGGCUUGGAGAGGCACCUGAUGCCAUGGCUCAUGCUGCAUAAUUUUGAUCACAAGAUGGUUUUCGGAAUAAAAUGUCAUUUCGCCCACAGACCUCAAGCAAAGUGUUCCCCUGAUACUGGCCUGAAGCUCUGUAUGAAAUGAAACUUACUAUUUUAUUUAUUCACAUUAGAGCAAUUUUUAUUCUUGGAUUUGAUCACUGAAACCUUAGUAUACGGUGUUAUUAGGUAUCUUUUCUUUGAUUAUUGUUGUCUGUGAUGGAAAUUAACAGAACAGAUAUACGACAGAGAACUGUGGUUUUAUUAAUACACAUUAUGAUGAGAAAAAGAGUAGAUUACUGGACACAUUAUGAUAAGAAAGCAUUAUUGUUGUGUUACGUUGAUAGGCCAAGUAGGUUCGUUCCACUUCAUUGCAUGACCCUUUUGAGGUGUGGCGAUGGUUUGUGUUCCAUCAAGGAUAUCACUCUACUGUGACAUCAUUCACUGGGGCUCUUUGAACUAGAUGACAUCAUACUCAACUCAUUCAUAACCGACCGAUUUCCUCUUACCCAGCAAAGUUGUAAUUGCUUACCAAAUGUUCUUCUGCUACUAUCACAACCUUCUAUGAACACCAUGGAUCACAGAAACAAAACCAAAAAGUGCAAGCUACAAGAUUUAAUAGUGGCACCAUGACAAAGUUGCUAUAUCACAAGAGAGAGGACAUAUUUUAUUAAUACACAUUAUGAUGAGAAAAAUAUUAGAUUAUUAGACAUAUUUUAUAUCUGCCUAAGAAAACAUUAUUGUGGUGUUACGAUGAUAGGCGAAGAAGGUUCGUUCCACCAUCCUAAUUGCAUGACCUACACAUUAUGAUGAGAAAAAGAGUAGAUUACUGGACAUAUUGUAUAUCAAAACAUUAUUGUGGUAUUACGAUAAUAGGUGAAGAAGGUUCGUUCCACCAUCCUCAUUAUAUGAUCAUUUUGAGCUGUGAUGAUAGUUUGUGUUCCAUCAAGGAUAUAAUGAUAGUUUGUGUUCCAUCAAAGAUAUCACUCUGCGUUAAACUCGAGUCUCUUUAAACGUUGCUAUCAUCAAAUGAGUGUCGACUGUAUCACGUUGAUAAAUCUUAUAUAUAUAUAUAUAUAUAUAUAUAUAUAUAUAUAUAUAUAUAUAUAAUAUUUGUGGCUUUUAUUGGGAAAUGAGGGAUGGUUUUUGGAAAAUAAAAUAGGAUAGAGGAUUUUUUUUCUCCCAAAACAUAUAGAUAUAAAUAUUAUAUAUAUAUAUAUAUAUAUAUAAUGAAAAAGAGAAUAAACCAAAGAGCGGCCUUCUCCUAAUUUUGACGGGAAGGGAAAGAGCGCGGUCGGGAUUGGAACUCCGAAAUUGGCCUGCCGCUCUUAUCUCUUACAAUUCCAUCUGUCUCUUCCCCCAAAACCCUUGCGCUGGCCGCUGCUUCUUCCCUCUCCUACCUGCCGUUCAUGGUAAUGCUGGCUGGUUUCCCGAUCGGUAAUUCUAUUCGCUCGGAAGUUUUCCCUAAACCCUGUCGGACGGCGAUAGAUCGAUAAUUGGCCAGGAAUCGUUGGAGGUGUCGGGGUUGCAGUGUGAGAUUGGAUUUCCUGACUGCGCACACUAUGGUGAGGGCAACGAAGCAGCGACUUCCGGAAGGUAGGGGCGGAGGAGGAGGGGAGAACGGGCAGGGCAACGAUGCCGGAGCCGCGUCGUCAAAUCGCCAAGGGACAGCGCAUCGUCGGGUUCUUCGAUCCCGGUAUCUGGCCGUGAAGAACAUGAUCAGCGGUUGGUAUUCGAUUAAAUUGUGCCCUCUCCCUCUGAUACUUCUCAGGCUGAUUAGGUUUCUUUCUUUUUACUGAAAUGGGUCUCAGAUAAGAGGGAAGAUAUCACGAAAGUUGAUUCCGACAAAUUCAACUCAAUUAUCACGGAGGUUGAGAGCUUGCACGAACUUGGUAUGUAUGCCAGAUUGUAGCACUUGCCUAAAUCAUGCGUCAUGACUUUUCCCUUCUGCUUCUAUUCUUCAGUGUCGCCAUUGCAAAACGUAUAUUAAUUUCCUUCUCUUUGAAACAUGAGGAAACCCUCAUUAGGAUAACGCUGCUAUAGAAAAGAGGGUUUUUUUUUUAUUGUUUGCAAUCAGGAGAUAUACUUGCAAGGAAUGGUGGUCUGGCCGAUGCAUUGUAAUAUCUUUUGGUUGAACAGCAGGAUGACUAACGCAUAUUAUAUGAUUAUCUGCUUAUGUAAAGUUGUUUGCAAAUGCUAUAUUUGUUCAUGGGAUUUAACUCUCCCUUUACAGGAUUUUACUACCGUCCAUUCAGGGUGACAUUUGUGAAAUGUUAACUUGACAAUUCUGUCUGAUAUGAGUAUCAAAGUUAUCGAACCUUUUCUGUUUAUCUUUUAUAAUGUUCCCUUCCUCCUUUUCCUACUUUCUGUAGGUAUAUGUAUAAGUUUUUCUUGCUGCUUAAGGUACCAUGUAUGUUUACCUCAUGUACUAUUCAUGGUCUAGCGUAGAGAAGCAUUGAUUAGUCAUAGAUAUCAUUACUUUGGUAACUGAUGAACUCUCUAGUCUCUAUGUAAUCAAUUGCAUGGUAAAUUUUAGGUGAUUGUGCUGAAUGGACUUGAAGUUUUUAUCUAUCUACCUUUCUCAAAUGGUUCAUCAUUCCGCUUCUGUUUUACAAAAUUUCAUCUUAUGAUCACAGUUCAGAAGCCCAGGGAGCAAGUAGCAGAUGCAGAGGCUCUUUUAGACAUUGCCUGCACCCUGGUAACAUCAGUUAAAUCUCAAACAAAUGAAGGUGUGACCCCUUCAGAUUUUGUUACCACCCUCCUGAGGAACUUCGGUGAACAAAAUGGUGGAUCAGACUUGGGGAGUACUUUGAACAAUCUCCAUUGGUCAGAUGUUGGUCAUGCUGUCUCCCAUGUUUUCAGAAGUGCACCUGGAUAUCAUACAAUGUAAUAGUUCUCAUAGAUCUUCUGUUGAGUGUCUGAUUGAGUAGAUGGUGAUAGGUUUUUUCAUGAUAAAUCUAAGUUGACUUCAAAGUGUCUGUUGCAAUAAUUAGGUACAUGCGCCUUUGUGCUUGUCAUUCUUAUCAUUCGUUUUUCAUAAUGCCAGGAUCGGUCCCAUGAAUACUGAAUUGAAGCAGCGGAAGGUUGUUGCUCAGAGAAAACGAACAAGACCAACUGAAAGCACUCAUCCUGAAGAGGUUAGUGCCUCUGAGCUUGUUUAUUUAACUCUUCAAGGAUGGUAUGCCUGUCACUUUGACUGGAAAGUUGUUCUAAACAAUGUUAAAAAAUUUUUGUGACUGCUCUCAAUACCAUAAUAUUAUUUGGACUAGUUUUGGUGAAAACCAAAUUGUAUCUUACUAGCUGUUUAGUGACUCUUGGUAUUGCUUCUGCUGCUUCGGUUGCAAAAUGUGCAGAUUAUUAUCAUGUUAUAUGCACUUGUUUUUCCCUAUUAUUUUGUCCUCUGUUUCGGGGAGAUGCAUGCAAUGCUGUAUUAUGCCAAUAAGAGACCCUUGCAAGAUUUAUUAUUGUUGUACCUCAACAAUUGUGAAGGAGACAUGAUUGUCUGAUAUGUAAAGUCCACUCUAAGGUCUUAUCUGUUAUCUGGAAUAAUUAUGCAUGGUUAUUGUAUUUAAUGUUAAUUAUUGAAGUUCAAAAGCUUCCAUUAAUGCACAGCAAGAUUGGCUGAAUAAUGUACUCCUAGUAGCUGUUCUUUAUAAGUACAGGCUAAUACAUUACAUUAUUGGAGUUAUAUAUAUAUGUAUUGUUUUCUGGUGAUAUACAGCUUGCUGAUGCUGGAACUGAAGUGAAAACUGACACAGACAAGAAUAUGUCAACCAUGUUUGAUAUCUUAAGAAGAAAGAGAAGUGUGAAGUUGGAAAAUCUGGUUCUGAAUAGAGAAUCUUUUGCACAGACAGUAGAGAAUAUAUUCGCCCUAUCAUUUCUGGUAAAAGAUGGAAGAGCAGAAAUCAUAGUGAAUGAUAGCAGGCACCAUAUUGUCUGUAAGUUUUCAUCUUGGAAUGCUCAGUAUUUCAUUUGACCUUUGUUAGCCCCUUAAGGAACUUCUGAUAUGCUUCUAAUUUUGUUACCAGCUCCAAGAAAUGCUCCUGUGGCCACCGCUGUGGCUUCGGGUGAUGUCUCAUACAGUCAUUUUGUUUUCAGAUUUGACUUCAAGGACUGGAAGGUAUGGAGUAUGAACUGCAUAACUGGUUGUCUACUUUUUUUUUUUUGGUUUUGCUUUGACAUUCUAGUAUCCUUUUUCUCUAUCCAAAUCUAGUUGUUACGGAUCAAGUUGUGAACAUGAUAUUAAUUAUCAAUUUUGGGGAAACUAACUGGGAUUUUUUAGAGAGCCAUGGGAGAAGAAACCAUCACAUGUGUUUAUUACCAUUUUGUCUUCUUGAUUUGCCUAAUGCUUGAUAUGUCAGUUUUGAGAUUAUUCAUGUAACCAAAGAUAUCUUGAAUUGAAGAUGUGUCACCCUUUCAUUUAGUCUACUAAUUGCCCCGAUAUCCGGGAGGCAAUUACGACUUUAUGAAUGGUGCAUUAUCAUGAUUAGCCAUGUUUGUGUUACAUAUACUAGAUUGAGAUGCCUAUAUAGUCGGCAAUGGAUAUAUAUGGUUGAUAUGAUAUUGUUGUGUCUUUUGGCAGUUGAUGAUAGAUAAUGUAGAUGUUGGAGAAGAGUUGAUGCCACACAGGAUACGUGCAAAUACAUCUGGCUCAGAGGUUGGUGGUGUUGAGUCAGCUGCGCCUGCAACACCUAUCCGAAAGCUGACUAGAAAUCGGGGAUUGGUGAUACAGGAAGAAUCUAUUGUUGAGGACUCUCCAGAAACUGAUACUGGUGUCCAAAAUGUCAAGAAAAAACGCCUCUUUGGUUAGAGAUAUAGAUGAUAGUAGAGCUAGAAUUUGGCUAGCUUAAUCUUGAGCGUCAGCCGCUAUUAUGUUCUGCAGCUGCAGUGCUGGAGGGCAUAUACUGUAGCAGUGUUGUAUUCUAUGUUUUAAGAUGUAACGGGUAAAUUAUCGUUGACUGGCGCCUCAUUCGUUGUUAUACUAACUCGUGGAAGGUAUUAAUAGAUCUUUUGCCAAUUUUGAGUGAUAAGCCAGAUUGUGAUUGUUACAUGUGGUAAGAGUUUUGGAUCCAACUUGGGCCCACUCCCCAAAUUAGUGGAGGAUUUGGAUGGUUCUAAAAAUUAUCAUAGUUGGGAUUUUCUUAGAUCCCAUCAAGGAUACACUCGAUGGGCAUUACGUAGCAUGUCAGGAUGAUUGUUGAGUUGAGGUAAAGAUGAAUCUUUGGAAUGAUUAUUUCGAUUAUUAUAGGUUGAAUUGUCGGGGAUUUUGGUUGUAGAUCAUGGGGGCCACCAGUUGUCAUUCCAAUCGAAGAGACCAUCUUGUCGAUCUCGAGUCACCACCCCUCCUAUUGGUAUUAAGUUAUCAUUCCAUUGAUUAGACGACUAUGAUGUGUAACGGAUUGUCUACAUAUCAAAGCCCAGCAUCAUCUGUAUUUCAUCACACAUAGAAAGGAUGGGGAGGGACUUGAUGCCAUUGUUGGGUAGAUUAUUCGACUAUGUCAUCCAUUCCACCCCUGAAGGUGUUGACUUAAAGUUGUUUAGUAGUGUAAGAUCCACUUUAUUUGCAUCAUUGUUGCUUGUGUGGCUUGAUUCGUUUGCAUUGAUUCAUUCAGUUGGAUUCGAUUGAUGGCCUUGUCAUCAUCGAAUGAUGCUUCUAUGCUCGAGUCGGACGUAUCAUGAUUGAGACACAUUUUAUGGCUAAAUUAGGUCACAUCAUCUUCGAGUGAUGUUUCGUGAUCUAAGUUAAUCGUAUCGUGAUCGAAGAAUGCUUUACGUUUUUGUUUGGUCACGUCAUCAUUGAGUGAUGCUUCACAGCUAGAGUUGAUCACAUUGUCAUUAUGGGAUAUUUCAUGAUCGGAUUCAAAUAUAUCAUCGUUUGGGGAUGGUUUGUGAUUAGGUUUAAUCAAAUCAUUGUUAAAGGAUUCAUGAUCGAAUUUGAUAAUGUCAUCAUUAGAAGAUAUUUGAUGGUCAAAUUCAAUCAUAUUAUCAUUGGGGGACACUUCAUUGCGAUUGUGUUAUCGUUAGAUGAUGCUUCAUGAUCGUAUUCACGUUCACGUUGAGAUACUUCACGAUUGAAUUCAAUUAUAUUAUCACGCUUCGAAUUUGAUCAUUUCAUGCAUCACACAGUCCCGCUAACUUUUGUUCAUAAGAGACGAAGCACAGUAAAAAUCUUGAACUAUAGGGACAAAUAUAAAAGAAGGGUAAAAUAAAUAUAAAACUUAAGUUUAUUUCAAAAUUUAUUUCCAACAAUUUGAUGUGCAAAGUUGAUCAACAACCUGCUAAUCACAGACUACAGAAACGUAGAGAAUCAAAAAUUAAAUAUUUCUACAAAGACAUCUCUACUUUAUUCACGCAUUAUCACAAACAGAAAGAAGGGUGAGAAAUCGACCCUGCGACAUUUAUUCCAUCUUGAAAUGACAUCAACUUAUAAAUGUCUGUCCACUCGUGUGGAAUCUUCCUCAAACACAAGGGAGAACCGGAAGCCUAUCUUCCAUGGAUCAUGGAACUGGAAUCUGCAAGGUCCGACGAAUCCCAAUCCAAGGUGGAAUCGUGAAUCGCCGAGAGGGACACAAGCACCUCUGUCAUGCUUGGGCGCGACCCCGGAUCGCGUGCCACACACAGCAUCGCCAGUUCCGCCAUGGCAUGAGCCAACUCGAGAGGAUACUGGCGUCCCAGGCACGGGUCGACGAAAGCCAUCAGCCUGCCACGCGCAUCCUCUCCGCUUAUCACCGAUCCCACGCACGCCCACAGCAGCGUGUCUUGCUUCUCACCCUCCUCCGUGAACGUAGCUUCCUUCCCCGACAGCAGCUCCAGCAGCACCACCCCGAAAGCGAACACAUCCAGCUUAGGAGUGACGAGGCCGUGCUCCAGAUACUCCGGCGCCAUGUACCCCUGCGUACCCACGACGUGUCGCGUCAGGUGAGGCCUUUCCCCGUCCUCCAUCGGUCUCGCAAGGCCGAAGUUGGCGAGCUUGGCUCUGAGCUCCCCGUCGAGCAGGAUGUUGCUGCUCUUCAAGUUCUGGUGGACGUACGGUGGGCUGGCGUAGUCGUGCAGGUAGUUGAGCCCAUGAGCAACGUCGUGAGCGAUCUGAACCCUCUCCUUCCAGCCAAGGCAGCUCGAGCUAUCGUUCUUGUUGUGGUGAUGAAGCCAGUCUCCCAGGGAGCCUUUUUCGGCGAACUCGUAGACAAGGUAGGUGUUGCCGUCGUGAAGGCAGAAGCCCGACAGGCGGAUCACGUUGGAGUGGUUGAUCUGCUUCAGGAUGUUGAUCUCAUUCGAGGCGUCGCCUUUGAGUCUCUUGAUGGCGGCGGCGUCCCCGUUGAUGACUCCUCUGUAAACGGAUCCCAUGAUCCUGUGGUCUUCGCCGAAGGCCGCGGUAGCGGCCUCGAGCGCUCGGAAUUCGUAGACCGUCAGCGACUCGAUAGCACUGCGAACGCUUUGGACGGAGACUGAAGUGGGAGGCCCCGACCUCUUGUCGGACAGCUCGGAGUAAUUCGCCGAAGACUCUGCAGUCUUGAACGGAACGGGGACAUCAGGAACAGGGAUGCGGCGCCGCCGCCGCUGCCUGUAGCACAGGAGCCAGAUCAGGCCUCCGGCGCAGCACAAAGCCAGAAGGCCAACUCCGAUUCCGACCCCAACGAAGACCCAUUUGUGGCCAGAGGAACUGCUCCCGCUCCCGUCGUUGGGCGGCGUGUCGGCUGUCUGGGGCGGAGGAGGCGCCGAGGGUGAGCUUGCGACUUCGUCUUUGGUGGGCUCGGUUUCGAGGGGCACCAAGAGAGUCGUGAAAGGAUAGAUGGUGGAGGAGGAGGAGAUAUUGUUCGCGUGCAGCACCGCCUGGUAGUCGGCGUGGAAGCGGUCAGCGAUGGUGGGGACGUCAUCGCCCCAGGUGAUGAGGUAUGUGAGCAAGUACUUGAUGCCGCUGCUGGUUUGUUCGGCGGUGGGGCAGGCGCAGCGGAGGGGAACAUCCACCCGGAGGCCGGCGGUGAGGUUGAGGCUGCCGUAAGGGUUCUGCGCUAUGAGGGCCUGGCAGGUGGAGAGGCCCUGGUAGGUAUCGUUGGCCACUAUGAAGUAGGUGUCCCUGGAGGUCAAGGUGUAGGAGACGUUGUGCUGGUAGUAGCCGCCGGAGCAGGAGCAGGGGACCGGCACGAGGACGAGUUGGUCGUUGGGGACGUUGGCGAACUCGGUAGCGACGCCGUUGAUGCGGGAGAUGUUGUCGGCGUCGGCGCCUAAUAGGUAUGCGAUCAGUACCGGCGACUGGUAGGCGAUCUGGGAUCGGAAAGUGAGGUAGGAGGAGCAGGAGCGGACGCCGUUGCAGGUGUAGCCCAGAGUGGAGGAGUCGGUGGUGGUGCAGUCGAGUUGCCUGUUGUUCUCGUACUGUUGCUGGGCGUUGCAGGAGACGAGACACAAGAGGACGAGGGCGAGGAAGAAAGCUAAUUGGGGAUCGGACCUCGUCGUCAUGGCCAUCCGACGGAUGAAUCCGACAGAUCUACUUCUUAUCCGAUCUGUGUUGGCAAGAGACGAAACCCCUCUAAAUCCCCUCUCCCAGAGAACCAAUUCAGGUAGGGAAGAAACCAAGAAGAGCGAUGAACAGAUCAGAACACGGAGAAGAAUCGGUGGUCUUCACUUCCGUUCUCGUCUUUGACUCGCUUUCUUUGACUAACGACGCAGUCAAUGAUAUAGAACUUGUUGACCGAGAUAUAUUUCAUUAGGAAGAACGUUGACGGAGCUGUUGCCGGGUUCUGGCUUCUGAACUCGUCUCUCUCUCAUGGCUUCUCUGACCUGAAAGACAUCAUUCCAAUGGCCGGCCUUGGCGUACAUGUGAGACAGGAGCAGGUAAUCGCUGCUAUGAUAGGGUUCCAGCUCCUCGAGGUGCUCCUGCACACGCUGACCCAAUUCGAGGUCCCCGUGGACUCGGCAUGCGCCCAGCAGCGUCCUCCAAACCACAGCAUUGCAUUCCAUCGGCAUGUUCCUGAUCACAUGGAAAGCUUCCCUCACCUGUCCUGAUCGCCCAAGAACGUCCACCAGGCAUCCGUAGUGCCUUAUGCUGGGAGAGAUGUUGUAGUCCCUCGUCAUUUUGUCGAAGUACCUCCGACCUUCUUCUACUAAACCUCCAUGGCUGCAGGCGCAGAGGACUCCCAGGAAUGUAAUGUCGUUUGGCUCUUCGAGUUCGCACCGACGCAUCCUUUCGAAGAGUGAUAUCGCUUCGGCCGCCCGCCCGUGCAUGGCUAGUCCCAGAAUCAAGGAGUUCCACGAGACCGUGUCUCUCUCCGUCAUAUCGUCGAAUACCUCGACGGCUCUGUCGAUCGCUCCGCACUUUGCAUACAUAUCGAUUAGAGAGUUGGUCACUCUGAGACGGCAACCAUGGGUGGAACUGCCGGCGAUGGAAUGCACCCAUCUGCCGAAGUCCAACGCUCCCAGCCUCGAACAUGCGGCAAGGAUUACCACCAACGUGGCCUUGUCCGGCCCGAGGAAGCUGGUCCUCAGCAUUCUCAGGAACAUCUUCAGCGCCUCGAGGUGCAGGCCGCAGUGCACGUACCCGGCGAUGAGACUGUUCCAUGACACCAGAUCUCUCUCGGACGAUUCUUCGAACACCUGCCGCGCGGCGACCAUGUCGUCGAAGAGAGCGUACGUGUGGAUGAGACUGUUGGAGACGAAGACAUGAGAAUCCACGCCGACCUUGAGCACGCAGCAGUGGACCUGCUUGCCCAACUCGACCGCCGACAACUGGCCGCAGAUAUUGAGUAGGAAAGAGAACGUGAAGUUAUCGGCGUUCUUCCCCUCCUCUCUCAUCCUUCGGUAGAAAAGGAACGCCUCCGCGGGUCUGUUGGCCCUCCCGAGCCCUCUGAUCAUGGUGUUCCAGAGGAACCCAUCCGGCCAGUUGAGCUGCCGGAAGACGGCGGACGCGUAGUCCAUGCAUCCCCUCUGCUCCGAGCUGGAGCAGAAGGAGAUGAGCCUGCCCACGACGAAGACAUGCUGCUCGAAGCCGGUCCGGACGAUCCGGGCAUGGACCUGACUCAGGUCCCGCAGGGUGGAGCAUGACUCCAGGAAGGAGAUGUGGCUCUGCUCCCUCUCGUGGAAACCAACCGCGGUGGAGUCGGAGGUCGGCGAGGUACGUGGAGGCUGGAAGAGAGCGACCGGCAGUCGCGUCGGAGAACCCAAGGAGAACCGCUUGAGCAGCAUGUGGUUACUCCGAGUCAUUACUAACUCGACUCGGGCGAUCCCAUCAUGAAUACAUGCUGGCGAACCCAAAGGAGGGCCUGUCGAGCAGCAUGUGGUGACUCCGAGUCAUUACUAACAAUUUAAUAUGAUACACGUAAAUGGUCACUUUGUAGUAAUCUAUCUUUGGAUCAUUUGUCACAUUCAAUAUUAGGAUGUUUUGACUAUUGUUUGUCAUGAUUUGAUAAGAUAAUUAAUUUAUUACAUCUGAAUUUAUUGAUCCAAAAUGUUUAAACUCAAACUAAUGGUAAUAGACUCAUUAAGUCUUGAUAAUCUAAUUCAAGUACUUGAUGUUUCUAUCGAAGACCUAAUAUAUUUUUAGAAAUAAAUGUUAGUAUGAUCGAUACGAGACAUAGUGCAAUCGUGACUUCAUGUUUGAUAUACUUUAUAAUACAACUUAUAAAUGGUUAUUUUUUACUUAAAUAUCUUGGUAAUACUAAAUCAAUAAUAAUAUCAUUUGUCACGAUGAACCUCAAUAAUAUAAUUACUUAGGUUGAAAUUAAUAAUAAUAGACUCGUGAUAUUAGUCGAGCAUAUCCUACAAAACGAAAAUAUUCACCAUUAGAAUAUCUAAAAAAAAUAUAUCGGUAUAUCGAAAAUCAAAUCUCUUUGAUAUGUGAUGGGCAAGACUAGAGGAAAAAAAAGGACAGACAGAAUGAGAAUAACGAAUGCCAUGUUAUGUUGGUGAGUAGUUCUCAUCAAGUCGUAAUCAUCUUUUAUCUUGAGCUGUUCUAAGUUGCCUAAUAAAUUUUAUGUUGGAAUUUGUACUGCAUUAUACAAUGCUUAGAAAAAUUGAGACAGGAAAUUUUGUUAGAGAAAUUAUAUUUAUGUCAGCUGUGUUGCAGAAUAAGGUUUAAUUUCUCUAUGGAUAUUUUAAUGAAGCUAUGUUGGCUUGUUGAAUCAACAAGAUUUUGACUGCAUAAUUUUUAUGUACAAAAAUUAUUCUAUAAUGCUCUAUUAGACGUACCAAAUUACAAGAUCCAAACCUAAAUGCUAUAUGUGUACCGUUGGACAAUAACUCAUUCUCUGGUUCCAAAAUCAUACUCACUUAAAUGUUUUUGAAGAUUUUUUUGAUCACACACGUGUUGUAUAUAUAUGAAUCUAUUACGAGUAUAAAAAUUAUAAUAUAUUAUUAUUGUUAUAUGAAAAAAAUUAAUAUCAAAAUAUGAAAUCAAAUAAUAAUAUAUCUAAAUUUACGAUACAUACCUUUCGAUGUUAUUCAGAAAACUUCUAUCUGAUCUGCGAGCGUACCAUUCGCCCUAUUUCGUGAUAAUCUUUUAAUCAUUUUACAUAUCCAAUCUCUUUUAUCUGUAUAUGUACGUACUAAUUAUUAUGUGUAUAGUCCAUUAAAGGUCUUAUUUAUUUAUAGACGAGGCAAAGGUUUGAUCGAUAACAGUAAUCAAAAUCUGAUCUAAUAAAUCUUAUCCAAUUAAAUAGGAUCGCAUAAUCUAACAUCUAUGCAUAUAAUAUCCAAAAUCUUCGCACAUAACAUUAGCUUAAGAGGCUUCAUGAACCAUUUUCAUUGUAAUCAUGCAUAGUUUGUGAUCCAAUUUGAUCAGAGAUUUAAUAGGUGAUAGCAUAUUUAGCAUAAUCUAAGCCUCUAAAAAAUUAAUACUUGGAAUGUACUCUUUGAACAGGUUGAUAUCAACUCAUUCCGAGUAGUAUGCUCAAAGUUAUAAUUAUGAUCAAUAAAUAUGUUUCUUCAUCAAUUGUAAAAACAGUUCUAACACAUAUUUAAGUUCAAUUCAAGUUCGACAUGUGAUCUUGAUGGCAAUUCAAAUUAAUUCCACAUGUGAGUUCUCUUGUUUCGGAACUUUGACUUCACUUCCGGCUGGUACCUUUUUUGGAAUGUAAUCUCUCCAUAGUAAUCAAAUGAUAUUUUUCCCUUUUCUAGAAAAAAGUUGAGUCAAAGCGUUAAAGAACAAGCAAUGUUCAUGUUUCGUAUUAAAGGAGUGGUCGUAUUCCAACUUUAGUUAAAGUAGUUGACUUUAGCUGUUAGUGAUGAAUGAUAUAGGGCUAUGUCCUAAUUCAUUUUCCUUCUGCAUCGACACUGCUUUAUAAUCGAUAGCUGUGUUUGUUGCUGUGACAGUGAGUGUGUCAUCUUUGUUGGAUGCCAUUGCUUGGUGUGGAGAAGAAUGAACCUUCCCUCACGUCAACCUGCCUGUGUUUGACUUUUCUCUGAGGAGCUGAGAAGAAUGAUAGGAAAAAGAAAACGGUACAAAAAAAGAGAAUAUAGCCAAUAAUUCUUCCUUCAUCUCCUCUUUGACGACGUCUCUGCUUUGCAUGAAAGCCGAGUCCACGUGCUUGAAAUCCAUUGCAUGGAAAAGGACAUCUCGCUCUCGCUCUCUCUCUCUCUCUGUGGCCUACACACACUGUGAUAAUAUUUGGCCGCCUACCUCCUGCUGAGAAAUGGUCUUUUGCGAGUCUUUGACUGCAAGAUGAUAGAGAAGCGUCUACAUCGUUGACUUAGAUCAAAGAUGCUAUUGUUGUGGACCGGGUGAGAACAGCAAGGACGGUAUAUAAACCGAGGGAAAGAUGGAUGCACCUUAGUCCACAGUUCCGUGUAUCUAUCUGAACAUCUUCCGCCCUCAUAAAUGGAAUGAGUCACACCGUGUGAGCUGAUUUGUAAGGUCUAAAGAAUGUGCUUGACGUCAAUUUCGGCUCGAUACGGGCCACUCUGGAUGAGCAGUCUCAGUUCAUAUGAGGUCGCUGACAUGCACGCAUUCCCUUAUUUGCAUGGCCUGCGUGUGAUGCACCCUUCGUUAUAUAGAGGGGGGAAGGGGGGAUAAGCAACCGUUCGUGUGAUAGGGAAGAUGGAGGAGAAGAAGACUGCACCACGUCAUGAAUCUGCAGUGCCUUCGGCUUGUAAUCAUCGCAUGGCGAUCCAAGACAUCAAUAGGGCGCAAGAGUUGCUGAGCCAACUACAUGCUGUUCUUCUGCAGUUGCAUCCUUCCAAUGGAGGGGAUAUGCUUGAGGAGAUACGAAAGUUCACAUCCUCGGCGCUCUCAAGGCUUCAGUCCUGUGUCUGUGGAUCGUCCGAUGCCUCUGAGGACUCCCAAAGAGACAUAUAUGUCAACGAUACGAGGAAGAGUUUGAAGAGAAGCUGGUAAUUCUAUUCUUCAUCUUGCAGUUUGAACUUCUCUUUGAAGUAAUUGAUCAUCGUAUUAAACUUUCCAUCGGAUUAAACUUGUUGCAGGAGCAAGCCGGAAACGUGGUCGAUAGCUACAACUUCCCCCUUUGACGACGGCCAUCAGUGGAGGAAGUACGGGCACAAAACUAUCAAGAACGCCAAGUAUCCAAAGUAAUCAUCUUCACCAGUAAACUCCCUUCAGCAAUUAAGGUUUUCCCAGUACAUUAAUUCUAGUUGUAAUGCAUGCUUCCAUGAACACAGGAACUACUACAGGUGCGUUUUCAGGGACAAGCAAGGAUGUUUAGCAAAGAAGACGGUACAACAAGAGGAUAGCUACGGCGAUCCUCCCAGGUUCAGCGUCCAGUACAGAGCGCCACAUACCUGCAAAACCAUCAAUGUCGCCUUCCCUUCUGUAAUGGAAUCUGCUCCAAAGGAACCCUCUGUUCAUGCCAGUGGUUCCAGAUGCACCUUGAAGCUUCAGGAGAAUCACCUUUCUCCCUUAGCCCACGCUGCAAUCGAGGCUCAGGAUGAAGGCUUGUGGAUCAGCGAUCAAGCACAAGACUGUGAGCUGCUCGGGUCGGAUAUGGUGGCCACAGAACCCUGGGACUUGGACAUGUUCCUGGAAGAUGAUGAUGGGUGGUACAAUAUUAAGGAUCCUUAAAAAUCUGUGCAAUUCUAACUUGUAAUCAGCCAAUAUAUAGUGUGGCAGUCCUUUCUCUGUAUCACAAGUUUAAGAUGCUCUAUGGAUUGUAGAAUGAAUAUGCUUGGUAAUCAUAUAUGUCUAUCAUGGCAUCAUCUUCUUCCUUGUGCUACUUUGAUUCUUGAGAAAAGUAAGCCAAUUAAGUAUAUCAAUGAGGAAACGAACUGUCUCUACUUAUGAAGAAACCAAAAGAGACGAUUACAAGCAAAAAGACAAUAGAAAUCUUAUGAAUUCAGAAAGCCAAUAGUGAAACAAGAGCUCAUGCAAGGAAGCCUCUCUUGAUCACCAGCAACUCCUCCACCAUCUUCUCCUUCUUCCUUUCGUCCGCGGUCUCUCGGCCGCCGUCCCAGUUGUUCGAAGCAGGAAGUAUAACGGACUCCCUCUGGGCCUUGACAAGCCUCCCCAGCUGCUCCUCACUCACCCCGAAGGCUGUCGCCAGCUCCGGCCCACUCAUGCUCCGAAGCACUGAGCUCGCACCGGCGAGGAACUGCGGAUGAUUUCUCUUGGAGGAUGUUGUGAAGCCAAAGAACUCCAUCGGCCCUCCGCGGGACGCGACCUGGCAGAAAGGGUGGUAGCGCGGGAUCCAGAACACGUCGCCCUCCGACACCUCGGCGUUCAUUGCGGUCGAACCAUUCGGGUAGACCACCUCAAUGCUACCGGAGCCGCUCAGAAUGACGCCGUACUCGGUGGCCACUGGGUUGAAGUGUGGCGCCAUCAUCGAUCCCUGCAAUAGAUCAUAUAAAUUCGACCGCAGUUGACUAAAGGAAACAAUCUGUCCAACUUCCGUAGUUCAAGUUUUCACAGAUUAACAAGUGCGACCACUGACCGCAGUGAGGUUGACCAGAUAGACGCCAACGCCGCAGCUACUGAGAAGGGAAUAGUCAUGCUCGUCAAUGGCGGUACUCCAUCCAUAGCUAUUCUGAAAGCUCGGCUCGUUGUUGUAAAGGUUGAACGCGUACGGGGCGUGGUGGGAUUCAGUCGAUCUUGCUUUCUCGCGACCACUCCUGCCAAAUAAAUAGUCGAGGAGAUUCUUCCGUGUCCAUGUGGUGGCUGCCUCCUCGUCAUCGUUGUUGGGAUCCAACUCUUCCUCUUGCUGACCACUGAAGUGAACGAUCGGACCACCACUUUGUCUCCGCAUCAUUGGACGCAGUUGAUCAGAGGUGAUCUGUGAGGAUCCAAGAACUCAAAUGUAAUUUGAAGAGAUUCGACUCGUCUAAAAUUGAAUCUUAUAUCAUGUACAAAUGAAUUGUGUUACGUUGAAUGCAUUUGCGAGUGUGUUGACAUCGAAUCCAGCAAGCACUGAGGUUGGAUUUGUUCCACCGCCGAUGAAGAACGACUGCCAAGUAGACAUCAACUAAGCAUGAAACUCUUGGAUCCAUGGUAUCAGAACAAGAAUAGAAGGCCACUCACUUGUUGCGAAUUGUAUGUCAAACUCUGGGAAGUGUCGAUGCCACAAACCAUGUGUGACCUCUCCGAGUUAGUGUUCGCGAUGUAGAAGGGUGAUCCGGCAGGGAUCACGUUGAUGUCCCCUCUCUUGAGCUUUCUCUGCACCAACUCGUCCUUGUGAAUCCACCCAGCCUCCACCUCACCUUCAUAUACAUGAUCACAAAAUCAUUCCACGAGUAAACGUAUUACCAGUUCAUGACUGCAGAGAGAGGCUUACCUUCACGUACGAAUUGGAUGAGAUUGGCGUCGACGUAUUGGGGAAGGAAGAGGCUGUUGGGCUCCAGGCGCAGGAAACCGAUGUGCAUGGUGCUUGGAUGACCCUUCCACCGAUCACCGGACACGACCCUAACUUGGCCGGCCUCAGUCCUCACAGCCCUCCUCGUCCUCCCCAGUAUGAAGCGACCUCGACCAGUAGCGUCUUCUCCGCACUCUCUAACUUUCUCUGCCUCUUCUCUCUCUGUUCCUCUUUCUUGGUGUCCGCUCGCCGGCACCGAGAAGAGCAGCAGCAGCGUCAGAAGGGCCACCACCGCCCGGUCUCCCACAGCGACCGCCAUUUCCAAGGGCUUAUUCCUCUUCAGCCUUUCUUCCCUGCUAGUCCAAAUGGGAAUGAGGUGAGAGGAAUGCGAUGGCCGUGAGGGUUUUAAAGGGCGGAGAGAAUAGUGUGGUGUCGACACGUCGCUCUUUUAUGCUUCGGAAGGUCUGGGUUUACGUGGAGAUCGACCAACACGACUUUACGAGUUCACGGAGAGAUCUACUGAAAUGACUAUUGACUGCUUCAUCGGUGUUUAUUAUUAUUAUUAUUAAUUUAACCAUUUUAACUCAGUGAAUCAGACUCAACAAAUUAAUUAUCUGAUCAUUUAUCCCAUCAUAUCGAAUCAUAAUAAAUUAAUUUAAAUUUUAUCAUUUUAAAUUAUAUCUAUUUAACCUAAAAAUUUAUAACCCAAAAUAUAUAAAAUAAUUAUCAGAAAUAGUUUACAUGAACAAAUUGGACUGGGAGUCCAUAGAUCAGCGAACCAAGGGCCUGCUUUAGGCCGGCGUUAGCCCACCAUAUCCACCACCACCACUGCACGAGCCGACCGGCGGGAUCGGUUCUCCUCCUCGGCUCCAUUUCCGGUGCCAUGAUCGAGCAACAACCGCCGGCAAGUUGGGCAGGAAGAGUGCGAAGCAAGCCACUUGUCGAUGCACUCGACGUGGAACACAUGGCGGCACAUGGGCAGCACCCGGACCUUCUCGCCGUCGGCGAACUCCCCCAGGCAUAUCGGGCAAUCGGUGGCCGGGAUGUCAGCUCCCAAGGCGUACACCGCCUCUGGGAGGCGGCGGAGCGACUGCUUGUUGAGCCUGGUCGCAGCGAGCCUCGCAGCGGCCUGCUCGGGGGUCUCCAAGGCCAGCACCGCCCGCACCGGAGCGCGCACCGCACCAUGGAGUUCAGCCCGAGCACGAGUAUUAGAGCGCAGAGGAGUGCCACGAUGACGAUAACCAUGCCGGCGUCGUAACCGGCAUUGCCGCCGCCGUUCAUGACGGCGUGCGGCCUGCUUCCGUUGACCCCCGGCGGUGUCUCGGGGAGUGCACCGAGCAGCCUAUGCAUGGAUUCUACCAGGUACUUGUCAGAGUUUGCUUUGUGCCAGUGGCGGCAAAAGGAACAGUGAAGAGAAAAUGAGAGCGAUCACAGAUCUCGGAACUCCUCUUACCAGAACUCGCUGCCACCAAUAACUACUCAACAUAUGUUGCUUUGUCUUCUCAGCUUCGGAAGAGAAGAUUCUUCACAUCCUUACAACCUUAGACUUGCAUGAAAUGGGCGAAGUGGAGGAGCAACUGAGAUUUCCAUUUGGAUGGAUUCAGAGACAUGGAAACAUAUUCACACUGCUUUGGAAGAGAUUGGCUUCUCUCUUUUGAUAUAACUACAGCACAUUGUAAAAGAGAUUCUCUUGUUGAAAAGGACAGUAAUCUUGAGAAGGCAUGAGGAUCUUAAUCAAUGAAUUGAUGUACCACCUAAGAACCCACCUAAUCAUCAUAGUCUAAAGCAUCCAAAACCUCUUGCUUAAGCUUUCAUUUAAUAGCGAAACAGUUGUAGUUCUUAACAAUGGGUUGCUUUGCCUCACAGAAGACUCAGGCAAGCUCUAAUUGGUCACUGCUGUCCUUUUGCGUGACAUGAAUAGGGGUGAACGAUGUUUCUGCUUGGAGUUAGAUACUUCUCUUCUCGUCUAAUGCGUCCUUGUCCAUGUCUAUCUUAGAGUCCAUAUGCAUGAAUGGAGAUGAUUCAUUUUAGAAAGCUUGAGCAAUCAUUCCACUUUGCACCUACCUCUUCAUUCCUUCAGAAGCAUGAUUUCAUCAAGCACACCGCGAAUUAUAUGCCAUGGCUGUUGGCAUGUCCUUCUCCUCUGUUCUUCUUUUAUGGGUUUUGUUGAAUAAAGAAAGGCAAUUAGGAUGUCAUCUUGCAACCUUACUUCAAUUUGUGUCUUUGUGGCUGUGUUGACUAUUGACGAUAUAUAUUUUGAAGACAUGAUUGCAACCUUGCCCUGCUUCAUGAUGUUAACAUAUCAUCUAUAGGAAGACAGGGGAAGAAAGAAUUUGCUGUUGCUUGACGUGUUAAGCAACGACUCUGCGAUGGGGAAGAAGACACAGUUACUCUCAAGUCUCAAGGUCCGAAAAGGAUGAGUUCGACUGCGGCUCGAACUCCAUCAUCCAUACCAAAACACUCACUCACACUUUUGACUGCGUGUGCAUCACGGCACACGUCUAUGACACUUCCAGCUAAAAAACACUUGAAGCCUUAUGUGGGCUUCAAGUUUUGGAACAUAGAAUCCCACCUCGUGGCUCCAUCUGCAGUCUCCCAGCACCCAUCAGCAGCAGCAGCAUUGCUGUUCUCACGACGACUGCGGCCCAUCGGGGUACCGCUGUGAGAUCGAGAAGGCAGAUCUGCGAUUCUCAUGCCGCGAUCAGUGAUCAUCAGCCUGCCCUGCUUCAGGAUCACCAGCUUCGUCUUCCUCCUCGACGUGGCCCCUCUCCAGCAGUCGCCGCACGCAGUCUUCGGCACGACCAAGAUCGCCGGACCGUCAGAACGAGCCAAGGUGCGGAUGUACUUCGCGAGGCGAGUCUUGGACUUCCUGAUGACCGUGGCAAGCUUGGCGACGGGAAGAGGAGACGCCCUCCUACUGUUCUUAGCGAGUUUGAGGAUCUCCAGCCGGUGCUUUGCGAUGGAGACGCCCAUGCUCUGUAGGAAGUCGUGGUCGAAGUGUGCUAUAUCGUCCUCCUCGAGCUCGUUGUUCAUGAACAGAAGCCCAUAGUCGUAAACAAGGGAUGGCUCGAGGCACGAUUUGGAUAGCCAUGAGUGCCAGUCCAUGGUUCUGUGCUCCAUUGAAGUAGUGCUAGCCUAAUGGAUUUAUAGGAAAUCAGAGGAGGAACUAAGAGAUCGAGAUCAGAUGUCAGGGUGAGGACACUACCAAUAUUCAAGGUUAAGGUCAUGAUGCUCUUGUAGCUCUUUCUGAGGCUUCCCCAGCGCAGCAGAGAAUCAUCAUGUGUAGUAUGCUUGAAGUUUAAGGUAUCACCUUUCUUCUGAGGAUAACAACAGAUCAUAAGCUUCAAAAACUUCAGUUGGCAUGAACGAUGCCAACAGCAGUGUGUUGAGCAGAGUGAGAUAGAAGCUCCCAACGCGGCAUAGGAAAAGUGGGUGUUGUGGGUCCCCGUUGACUAAAGGUCAACAAUUAUAAAAGUUGGCUAAUUUAAGAAAAGAAAGGCUAAAAAUUGUAUCCAACGAAUUAGAGAACGUAAAUGAACAUUAAUAAUAAGAAAACUCAAUUCGAGACUCACCCAAGGUUUCCAAUGCUAAACUAUGCGGGUCCCCCAACUAGAAUCCAAUCAUCAAACAGGAAGGUGUGAGAGAGUCCGAUACAUCCACGUGGGAGAGUAGUUACGUAGCAAACAAUAAUGAACUCGCAGCGCAACUCAAAACUCAGCAAGCAGGUAGUCGAUUCGAUACGCACAUCUGUUGUUUACAUUCGACCGUUGAUCUACGACGUUUCUCCACACCCAACAGGAUUUUAAAUACAAUUUUCACGUCAUGUUGCACCGGAUCGGGAUCAUGUUAAGUUAGGUCACUUUCCGAGGUUUCUCGAUCGACGGAUCUCUCGGCUUCGAUUUGGCCCAUCGAUCUUCGUUCGUGGUGAGAUUCGAUGGAAAUGAUCAGGAGAGCUCAAUCGGUUUGAAUAGUGAGGACCGUCUUACAAGAACAGGUUGCAUUUGGUGAUGUCGACUUUAAGAAUUAGAUUCGGUAGAUUUGUUUGUCUAGUUGGAUCCAAACCUCGCGUAAACAAUUGAAGUGAUGGGUGCAUGUCACCGACUCAUGAGCCCGAUCAGAUGAGCCCGGCCCAUUUACUUCGUCCAUUCUGUUGCAGGAUUUAUUUGGUAGCCGCCUUUGAUUGGGAAUUAGGGUUGUCUGGUCGCAGUCGCGGGCGAGGUGGAGCGAUUUGGGAAGGCGCUGCUCUCGGCUCUCUUUCCUGCGCGUAGCGGACCGCUUCGAAGCGGUCUCUCUCGGUUCUCCUUCCUGCACCACUGAGACGCUUACUUUUGUGUUCUUUUUCCAUUUGGAUGCCAUUCCGAAUUGUUAUGAACAAUUGUUCUUCUUUUCAGGGGUCACUAAGUCGAGUAGCUACUUGUCCAGAUUCAUGGCGACCGCUAAUGCCAACGCCAAAGGUGGUACGUAUUACUGCCGUAAAUGAUGUUUAAAAUGCUUUCGUUCAUUCUUGCAUAAGGUGUCACAGGUGUCAAUUGUAAUCUUCUUAUCAGCGAGGAAGAAGGAAGUGAAGAAAGAAACUGGACUUGGUUUGACCUACAAGAAAAAUGAGAACUUUGGUGAAUGGUACUCCGAGGUGCGCACGAUCAAGUUACCGGUGGUUCUCUUUCUGUUGACGUUAAAGUAUUAAUUUUGCAUUCCUUUUUCAGGUUGUUGUUAAUAGUGAAAUGAUUGAGUACUACGACAUAUCUGGCUGCUACAUCCUAAGACCAUGGACGAUGACAAUUUGGGAAGUUUUACAAGUAAUGGAUUUAGAUUCAUGUCAGAAGAGAUUGCUGUGUGUUUCCAUAUUUUGUUAACAACCUGGUUCUUUAAUCAAACCCUCCAAUUGUGGCUUCAAAUAAUAAAAACAUCAGUGCUGCGUUUGAUAUUUUUGGGUCCCAUGUAUGUUGAUGAUUUAUAAAUUAUGUGAAGUUUUUAACUAUCUUGAUGUUUAAGAUUACAUUGCCUUGUUUCUUAUCUCUUGGGAUUUCCUCUGGACCAUCUGUUGAUUGCUGAACUUUUUGUACAUGCAGACAUUCUUUGAUGCUGAAAUAAAAAAGAUGAAUAUCAAGAAUGCGUAUUUUCCUCUAUUUGUUACUGAGAGUGUCCUACAGAGGGAGAAGGAUCAUAUUGAGGGCUUUGCUCCUGAGGUGAGAUUUGAGUUUUGUUAAGGUGAACUAGAUUCUGCUGAAUUUUCCUUUCAUGCAGAGAUGAGCAAUUCUUUCUUGACACAUGUAGUUCAGAUUUGGUUUCAAAGUUGUACUCCAGACAGUUGAUGACAAAAUUCUAGAGAUGAUUUAGUUAAUGUUAUAAAAACUGUUGUAGUUGCUGCUAUUCUUGAAUUCUCAUUUACUGCUCAGCAGUAGUUGUUCUUUUCAAUUCUAAUUCGUAAGUUUAUUAGUGUGCAAGUUUUCAAUGUCGCAUACAAUAAUGUGUCCUUUGGCUUACUUCUUGAAGGUUGCUUGGGUUACUAAGUCUGGUCAGUCCGAGUUGGAAGUUCCUAUUGCAAUUCGUCCCACAAGUGAAACUGUCAUGUACCCAUAUUUUUCUAAAUGGAUUAGGGGGCAUCGUGACUUGCCAUUGAAGCUUAACCAAUGGUGCAAUGUCGUUAGAUGGGAGUUUAGCCAUCCUACUCCCUUUAUCAGGUUCCUCUGACAUUUUAUUUAUGAAUGUUGAAAAAUAGAUUUGUGGAUUAUUUUCCUUCUAUUGGAUCAUUGUUUACUAAAAUUUCAUUAGCAUGAUUCUGCUGCAGUUUAGUUUUUAUGGUGUCUUUUUUGGGAUGAUUAGAACUGCCAAGGGCAAUGGCUUUAGUUUGAUAGUUUUUAUUGUGUUAACAAGUACUUUCUUGUAGGGUAUCGAAGUUGGCUUUUUUAAUGCUUAUUGCCACAGUGUUUGACUAUAGGAUUGCCCACAAAUUAGCUGCUAUAUUAUUUUUCUAUUAUAAGAUUAAUCACAAAUUAGCUACUUUUUGUUGCAGUUGUUUUGGUUUGACAGUAAGAUUAAUGUGAGGCUUGUUAUCUCUAGUUCUCAACAACUUGCAUUUUUCUCUUCAGAUACUUUGUGGAUGUCUUUUCCUUCUACUAUAAUUUCCUCCUUUUUUUUCCUUCAACUAUUAACUUGAAAACUGGAGAAUACAGAAGCAAAUGGUGGGUCUAUGCAUGAAAUUGGAUUAUCUAUGUUAUCUCGAUAACAUGGUAUGGUGAAGCGUGUUACAUAAAGCUGCUUAUCUUUGUUGUCUGUGUUUGUUGCUGUUCUGUUGAUCUUGUUUCUUUUUUCUUAACUGAUGUGAGAAGAAGUCAUAUACUCAUUACUUAUCAGUUAAUUGCAUGCAUAUUUUCUGAUUUGUUUCUUUCAUCCAAAAUUUUAAAAUACAUGUUCUUGUUGGACUUCUGUCUUAUUUUUUUUCUUAUCUGCAGGAGUCGGGAGUUUCUUUGGCAAGAAGGGCACACAGCUUUUGCAACACAAGCUGAAGCAGAUCAAGAGGUACUUGAGAAUUCUAUUUUUGGAAAGUUUUUAUUAGAUUCUUAUACAAAAACUAGCUUGUCAGAAUAAACAAUGAAGUUGCUCACCCAGAAAUUAUUUUUGGAUAGCUGAUAUUGAUGUACUUAUUUUAUGAAUUUCAAAGUGUCUGUAGAUGAUAAUUAAAUAGUAAACUCCACUAAAGUUGAUUGGAUGGCAUCCAACAUAAAUAGUAAGCUAUGAAGCACAGACACUUGGAAAUAUUAAUCCCAAUAUAGAUGCUACUAAAGUUAUAUAGUCUUUCUCUUCAUGGUUUUGGUCAUUUUUUGGUUGCAUUGGUCAUAAGGUAGGUACUGGCUUAGUGGUAGUUUGGAUCUUGAUUUUGGAGAAUUUAACCUAUUCUGCAUGUCACUAGAGUAUUCAGGUAGCUGUCAGGAUUUUUAUUUAUAUUUGAGAAGAUAUAUAUGUCUUUUUUAAAAUUUAUUAUGUACUCAUUAUCUGAAAGCAUUCUAUGAGAACUGGGUUCUUGGUGUUCUUUUGGAAAACGGAUUUGUGAUGCUACUGCUAUUUGGAUGAUCCUUGCACUUUGAUCUCUGCAAAAGAUGAACUUUUAUGGAAAUUGACUUUACAUGUGGAAAAUGCAAUAUUCAAAUGUGAUCAGCUUGUUGCUAAGCCAGUUUUUUUUAAAAUGCCUCAUAUUGUCAUUUCAGGUUCUUGAAAUCUUGGAACUAUACAGGAAAAUAUAUGAAGAGUUCCUUGCAAUUCCUGUUGUUAAGGGUAGAAAAAGUGAGCUAGAAAAGUUUGCUGGUGGUUACUAUACCACAAGUGUUGAGGUACUUAAUUUAGUUCAAUUGAAGAAUCUUUUGCUGCAUCAUAUGUAGCUGAUUUUGCAGUAAAUCAUUAUAUCUAUUAUCUACUAUGAUGCAUUGGUUUGUUUUUUCUAGUGUUUGAAAAUUACCCUCCUGUUUGCCAGGCUUUUAUUCCUAACACAGGUCGUGGAAUACAAGGUGCUACCUCCCAUUGCCUUGGACAAAAUUUUGCAAAGAUGUUCCAGAUAAAUUUUGAGAAUGAUAAAGGUGUAAAAGCUAUGGUCUGGCAGAAUUCUUGGGCAUACAGCACUCGCACGGUAAUUUUUUGUGCUGCCAUUAAUUAAAGGAUUUGUUGUUAUGCUGAUGAUAAAACAUAUUUUAGGACAUUCUUUAGAUGCAUUCACUGUUUUGGGAUAUGUAAUUUUAUAACAGCUGUUAUGGCAUUAGGAUAUUUUAUCUUCCAGUGACAGCUAACUUUUUUACACUUUCCUUUGGAGCUCUUUGAGAUAGUAGAAUCAUCCUUGAAUAGAAUUUGAUUUAUCUGAAAUUGUAUAGAAGACCGUUGUUCGCUGUUUGAUUCAGUUGGAGAGUCUAUGAUCAUUGUUGAUCAUUGUAUGGAAUAUAAUUUUCUUGACAAGAAAAAAUAGUGUUCCUCAAAACAUGAUUCAGGGUAGUCACUCUGGUGUUCUGGUACCUCUACAUCCCGAAUUGCCACUGGUCUGUGAUUCAGAUUGCUGAACAUGGAGUGCUAAAUAUUGUUUAGUUUUGUCGUUGUGAAACUAGUACAUGCUUCCUCUAAAAUUCACUCAGGAAAUGUCAAAAUAACAAAGCACCAAACAACUGAAAGCAUCAUACAAAUUAAAGCUUAUUAAGUUUAUUUAAUUAUGUUUUUUGCCUGUUCAAAUUGCAUCUCUACAGGGAGUAAAUCAGGGGGAGGGGGGGGGGGGGGUGGGUGUGUGUGCUUGGUUGGAAAGUGCAAAACACUUUUAAACUGUAAACAUAAAGCUAAUGACAAGCAAGGCUAAAAUAUUUUAAAAAUUGUGGUAAAUAAUACAGGGGGUUCAAUUAACAUCACUCAAAGAUGUUAUAUCCAGGGUUUGCUGUAGCAGUUACUGUAGAACUGUACAUCACUCAAAGUGCUACAGCACUGUACAUCACCCAGGUGUACCGCUCGGUAUACCGUACCGUACCGGUACCGAGCUCAGGUCGAAAUACCGGUAUGGUACUGUAUUGCGAACCUUGGUUAUAUCUUCUUCAAGGCCAUAAUUUCUGAACCAAGAGAAAUGUUAUAUCUUCUAAGUGAACUGGUAUCAUAAUCUUGUACAUCACUAUUCCAUGAUCCAGGUAAUUGUAAAAACUGUUAAAAUAGAAAAGAAGAUAGUUGUUUUACAAUUUAUAACUGUUGGUUUGAGAAGACAGUUAUGGUUUAACAAUUCAUAACAGUUGAUUUGAAAAUUCGAUCAUUUGUAUCUUAGGCUGCUCUGUGGUAAAUUAUAUCGUAAAAGAAUAAUUUUAACAGUGUUUUCUUUUUGCAAGAAAGUUGUGUAAUUUGUAAGAGUCUUUUGGUUUUUCAUAUGCUUGUAGAUUUCCGGAUGAUGAUAUGUAGUUUUUCCAGGAGUCAUAUUCUUGAUAUAUAAUGCCAUGAUAGUUGGAUUUAAAUGUAGUGUACGUAUCUUGAGAUUGGAUUCUUGUAUCUCUGGAAGUGGCAUUUUCCAUGCUUUUUCUCUGACAUGCCAAGUUUAGUUUUUUCUAUUGCCACUCUCUUUGUAUAAUCAUUCUUUUUUUGAACAAUCAUUCGCCAGACUUGGAUAUUUUUAACAUAACAAUCUGUUGCUAGAACAAGAUUCUAAUGGAUAGGUGUCCAUGGCUAACUAAUGGUUGUUCAUUUAAUUAUGUUGAUAUUAUUUAAAACUUGGUUUGUCUCAUUAAUGUGUGUAUGCAUUAAUGAUGAGGGCAUGAUUAAGCUUGAUUAGCACCAACUCCAUUUAAUAGUUUCCUAGUGGAAUAAUUUCUGACAAUAUGUAACAUAGUUAGGAAGCAAAUGUGAGUUAUCUGAUCUCUAGCUUUUCUGCAGAUUGGUGUUAUGGUGAUGGUUCAUGGAGAUGAUAAAGGCUUAGUAUUACCACCUAAAGUGGCAUCAGUCCAAGUGAUCGUCAUCCCUGUCCCUUUCAAGGAUGCAAAUACUGAUGCAAUCUUUAGUGCCUGCUCAUCAACAGUUCAGGCACUCCGUGAAGCAGGCUUUAGAGCUGAAGCAGAUUUAAGAGAUAACUACUCUCCUGGCUGGAAGUAUUCACACUGGGAAAUGAAAGGUGUUCCUUUGAGAAUUGAAAUUGGACCCAAGGAUUUGGCAAAUAACCAGGUAAACAAGGAGUUGAAAUAUCUGGGUCAAUCAGUAUGACUUUACUGAUCAAGAUUUCCUUUUGUUCACUUCAAUUGCAAAUUCAUUCAAGCACCAAAGUUCUUCCUUGUGGAUAUCAUUUGCUAGUGCUUCCACCCUAUGCAAUGGGUCAUAGGGAAAGUCACAUGGAACUAAUAUUUCUGCCUUCAUGUGUCUUUGUUAUUGUUUUGUUUUUAUGUUUUGAUGCAGCAAUAAUUUUAAUUUUACAAUCAAUAUCUUCUCCAAUUACUGUAUGGAUCCAAUCCUCAACAGUCUGAUUGUAUCUGGAAUUGAUGGUCAGAGCCGACGCAAGGCUGUUGGGUAUCUUCAUCUUUAUAUUAGACAGUUACUGCUUAGCAUGAUUAGUGUCUUCAUCCUAAUCUUGGUUGAUGUGGUUGUCAUGAAUGAUUGCUCUCAGGAUAACUGUUCUUUUCAUCUUCUGGAAUUUGUUGGAUUAUCUAAAAUGGUGCCAAGAAAGUUGUCCUUUUCUAGAGAUUCAAAACGGAGCAUUACGUUGUUCGAUACCUUUUAUCACUUUGGUGCCAUUAUUGUGUAAAACAUCUUGUAUUACCGAUUAGAUUUCUGUACCUAACAUCAUGGUCAAUAGACAAUCAUUGUCCAUAUGAUUGUAAAAGCUAGACAAAGUUACUGUUUAAAGUACGGUGCCAAUAUACAAAGUUACUGUUGGAGUUGUAUGAAGGUAAAAGCUAGAUUUUGAUAUAUUUGUUUGUCAGAAAUCCAUGUGUGGACUACCAUAGGAUUGGCAAGGAUAACUUUUUUAUUGGAAUUCAAUAAUUAAAAAAAUCAGGAAUCCAACCGAUGGAUUGAGAUAUUUUGUUCUGCUUAAGGUUUGAAACAGUGGCAGCAUGGUAUGUUCUGUGCCAGCCUAAACAUGUUUAACAAGGCAUGGUUAUAAUAUUAAAUAAUUGGCUUUCCAACUGCAUGGCUCAACAAGAGACUUCUCAGCCUAAGCAUCUCCUUUAUUAGAGAAGACUUAAACUUGUAAAGCAUGCAACUGCAUUGUGGUAUCGAAUCAGCAUAUACUCGAACCCAGGGAGUUGUUCUUUGACAUCCUAUUUUCGCUAGCAUAAUACAUGUCAUGUCUUGUUACAUUGUCAUGGUUACAAUUAUAUUUUAUGAGCUGCGCAAAUAUAGCAGGUUGCAUUUUACUACUGAAAGGCACUAGCAGUUCACUUUUUUUUUGCAAGCGUACAUUUGAGCUGCAUAUGGUUUGCUUAUGAGAACUUAAGCUAGUUUGCUUGAGUGUUUCUCGUAUCUUGUUUAGCAUUUUAUCGUAUGCAUGUCCUUUUUGUUUCUUAUAUGAUGGGAUAGAAAUCUUAUAUACAACUUACAGGUGCGGGUUGUUAGGCGUGACAAUGGUGCAAAAUCAGACAUACCAAUGGGCAAUCUGGUGGAAAAAGUGAAAGAGAUACUCUCAAGUAUCCAGGAAUGCUUGUUUAAUGCAGCAAAACAGAAGAGAGAUGCAUGCAUAAAGAUUGUCAAUACCUGGGAUGAGUUCAUAGCUGCUCUUAAUGACAAAAAAAUGAUCCUUGCUCCCUGGUGCGAUGAAGAGGUACAUCCUUAUCAUUAAGUUCAUUGGAUGAUAUUUCACAUGUUGUAUGUCAUUCAUGGUCAUUAUAUCAGUUGUGUAGUUGUGCAAAUAUGAUGAUGGCCAAUGGUGCUGUUGUGGGACAUAAGUGACCAAAUGCAUACGGAAGUAAAAGGCAACGAAAUAUAUUCAAUUGUAUUCACUAUGUAAACCUCCUUUUUUUGCUGAUGUAGCCACUAUACUGUUUUCGUAGCUGUUAUCAUCUGUUUUUUGCCCUCAAUGAUGGUACUUUUGUCAAUAUUGUGUUUUAGUGAUGUUAAAUUACAUGUUUCUGGAUGAUAAUUAUUAUAAGGGUUAAGGCCUUUAAAGAUUACUUGUUAAGACUGGAAGGUGGCAAGUUGUGAUCUGAAAGUUUCUAAUUUUAUGGUUACAUGUAUAUGCUUCUUUUUAAUUAUUAUAUUUUUAACAAAGAAAAUAAGAAGAGUUUCUGUUUUAUUUUGUUUCGUAUUCUAUGCCUACAGGAAGUUGAGAAGGAUGUAAAAGCUCGAACAAAGGGUGAACUAGGAGCUGCAAAGUCUCUAUGCACCCCAUUCGAUCAGCCAAGGCUUCCAGAAGGUACUCAUUCGUUUAGUACAUAAAUUGAUCAAGCUAUCUAACUAUACAUUAAGCACAAAGUCAUACCUUGAAAAGACCUUCCUGUCAUACCAUGUCAUGAUAUGAAAAACAGGAAUAAUCUGAACAAAAACCCCAAAAAAAUAAAAAAAUCCAAAGAAAUGAUUAUUUAAUGUGAAGUAUAUCAGUCGUAAAGGAUCAUGCAUGAAUCAUAGCAAAGCAAUAUAUGGUUCAUUGUUCAUCAAUCGACGUGCAUGAUUACCUAUCAUGAUCAUCAAUAGGUAAAUAUGUAAAUCAUCCAGCACACAUGCAUGCAAUAUUAUUAUAAAGGCACAUCCAACAGUGUCAUUAACAUACAUUAGGAUGGAUCACACAUCUUAUAGAACACCACAUCACCCAUGCAUUCACCAUCCAACAUUGGUGUAUAAGUUAGAACUUCUAGUUGAUGCACUUUCUCAUAGUUGAUAGAGAGUGGCCAUAUCAUAUUCUUACCUGAUCAGAAAUAUCUGGAACUUAAUUUGGAGGUUUCAAAAUCCUUUCAUUUUUGGGCUGUCUUCUUGGCCAAUGAGUUGGAUAGUUUUUUGUGCUCCAAGGAGCAAGGUGGAGCUUGUAUUAGGUUGCUUCAGUAAUAUAGUUUUGGCUUUUUGUUUGAGAAAAAAAAUCUUAUCCUCACAAGAGAACAUCUGGUUACCACCACCUCUGACUACUUGUUAAUCCUUAAAGAGAAUCAUGCUAUCAAUAUUGACUCAUCUGCCACCAAAAAGUUUGUUUCACUAUCAUCAUUUUCCAUGUAAUCACAUAUCAUGCAAAAUAUAAUAUUAUUAAUGACAUUAUCAUGAAACAUCUGGUGUACAAAAACAAGAUAUAGAUACCAUGAAUGAAAUAAGAUUAUGGUUGAUUGAAUUUCAUGAUUGUUACAAACCAGUCCUAAGACUCAUUGUAUUAUUUCCUUGCUGUCAAAAUGUAUCCGACUCUUACAGUUUAAGUUGAUCAUUCUAGAUUGUUGAUCCUUCUCCAUCGUAUAAAAGUACUACGAGAUGAGGUUUGUGAAUCUGGAUAAGUAUUAAUUUUGAUGUUCGAGGAUAAAGGGAGACUCAUAUCUAGAUUGUUGAUCAUUCUUUUUAGCUCUGUUGCUCGUCCAUCUAAUGAAUUAAAGAUCUGUUAGAACUUAUUCACUUAUAUGACUUCAACUGUCCAGCUCUUGCAGAUCAUGCUUUCCUUCAUGAAAGAAGCUUGUGCCAUCAUUCUUUUAGUUUAUUUUUAAUCACAGUAUCUACCUUGUACCAUUACCUUGAUCUUUUUUUUUUUUUGUCUUUGAUGAUGAUGCCCGACAUGAGAUUUAUCAUUCACAACUUUGUGCAGGAACUCUAUGCUUUGCCUCAGGAAAGCCAGCCAAGAAAUGGACAUAUUGGGGACGAAGCUACUAGGCAGGUUGAUUACAGAGAUCCUACUGUCGUUUAUUCUGGAGUUUGCAUUUUUAUGAAAACGAUUGCAAGUGUUCCAUACUUUAUUCUCCUGUAAAAGAUUUUGAAAGUUUUGAGUUAUUCCUGUUUGAAAAUUGGGCUGAUAUGCAAGCAGUACUUCAUGCAGUUGUUAGAUCGAGCUAAUCAUAUGUCGUCUAGUAAAAAAUAAAGAAGAAUGACGAGCUAGACCGAAUAUAUAGUUUCAGUCUGGAGAUGUUAGGAUUGAAUGUUUGGAGAUCCUAUAUUGCCACUUUCAUUUUGGUUCUUGAGUGCAAGAUUGAUUGGUCAAACAUUUUAAAUAAGGUUUCACCUGCAUGAGAUGUUCCGAAACGCAAUAUGUUCAUAAUUUGGCUUUAUCGUGUGGGCUGGUCGAUGGUCCUUUGUCAGUGAUGGUGUGCUCCUUAUUUGGUUCAUCUUUAUCUCUUAGAUGUGAGGAUACGGCCAUGGGGUAAACAUGUCGCUAUUAUGGUCUGAGAUAGAAAUAUUAAGGACUUGGCACUCGGAGAUCAUUGUGGGAUGAUUCUACAACUAUGACUAGUGUUUCCCAAUCAGCUGACGGGUAGUGUUUCCCAAGAGGUAUGCCGUAAUUGUACGUAUACAAAGCCAAUAUUGGAUUUUUAGGCACAGGGAGAGGUGUUUUCUUCCUUCUAGUUUUUACCGCCUUAUCCAAAGAGAGAGUUCUUUAUAUAUAUAUAUACAUAUAUAUAUAUAUAUAUGUAUAUGUAUAUAUACAUACAUAUAUAUGUGUGUAUAUAUACAUACAUAUAUAUAUANNNNNNNNNNNNNNNNNNNNUAUAUAUAUAUAUAUCUCGAGAAUAGGAGUAUCGAACACCUGGCAUCGAAACAUCAGCUUCCUUCGCUUCUGUUAUUUAUUUAUACCACCGAAGGAGGGGUUAGGAAAAGGAAAAAGAAAAGAGUUCCGGUGGGCGAGCGAUACGGGCGAAAGAGUCGGGCGGCCGCGACGAUGGAUUCUUCGAGCGGCGACAGCGGGCGAGGUGGAGGGACGUCGCUGCUGUCGGCGUGGAGCGCCGCCGCCUCCCGGCGGUACCAGCACCUGCUCGACAAGGCCACGCCGCACGUACUUCGGAGGUGGGCCGGGCUGGCCGUGCUGGCUCUCGUCUACGCCGCUCGCGUCUGGAUUGUCCAGGGUUUCUAUAUCGUCUCGUACGCCCUCGGCAUCUACGUCCUCAACCUCUUCAUCGCCUUCCUCUCCCCACAGGUCGAUCCCGAGAUCCAGGACCUCGUCGCCGGCCCCGGUCCCUCCCUUCCCACCCGUUCCUCUGAUGAGUUCCGCCCUUUCGUUCGCCGCCUACCCGAGUUCAAGUUUUGGUCAGUGCCGUGCACCAUUCUUUCUUGCUCCUCUUAUUUUUGAUCCUAUUUGAUCUCGCAAUCCUUUUUCUCGUGUGUCGACCUGUUAGAUUCAGAUCAAAUAUGUUAGAUCAAGUAAAAUCCUAUGCUAAGAAAGUAGAAGGCUAUAAUUGGUUGAUACGAGCUCUUGGCUUGAUCCCCUGCAUUGAUUCAGGAAAGUUAUUUGAUUUUAGCCUACCAAAGUUUUGCAAUGGAGUUGAAAUUUCUGAAGCAUGCAUGUGGUACAUACAUAAGUGUUGAAGAAAACUUUGUGAUAAGAGAUUCUAGAAGGAUUGGGACAAUCAACCAUAGAUGUUGGUGUUUCCUUUUUGUUUUUUUCUUUUCGCAGCAAAUGUUCUUUAGCAACUCCGGAAUGGCCCGAUCAAUUGUGACAUCGGUUAUCUUUUUCACAUAGGGCGUGUCUUCCUCUAGGUCAAGGUGUUUUCACAUAGGUAUAACCUUUACCUAUUUGACCGAUGGUGGAUUGGUUUUGACAAAAGACAAAAGAAUAUGCAAGAAUUGACUUUAAUUGUUAACUGAAAAUUCAUCUCAAUGCCUUUCAACAAGUUGCCUGCCUGAGCACUAGUGUUAUUGUUGAGUAGCAAUAAUGCUUAAUUGAACAGCACAGUCAUUUAUCCGCAUAAUUCAUGUGUUGGUUGACUAGGAGCUGAUUAACCAAUUAGAUUGAACUUUUUGUCUAAAUGAACAGAGAGCACUUGAUCACUUGCGACGAUUGCUAGAAACAUUGACUCUAGAAUUCUUUAUUUAAGGUAAUACUGAUAAUUAUAUGAAGCAUGAGGACCUAGGUAAUGUUACGGUUGUUUUUUUUUUCUUGUGCGAUGCGAUCAAGACUUAAGACAUAAAAACAACAUAAGACUGUGUAUAUUGUCUCUUCCCAAUUGCAUUGGUGGGGGCUUUGUACUUUGGGACCAUCCUUUAACAAUGAGACGAAGUGAAAAUGGAUCAGUAGUUAUAACAAAGGAGUGCUAUUAAGUUGCACCAGGCUAAGAUCCAAAUCUAUCCAAUAAAGGCUCACAAGUUCCAAUCCUGAAUCUGAAUCCCUCCCAUAAGAGGAUCUAAAUCAAAUCUUGAUUGCAGAAACUAUAACUAUUGGAUACCAUAUUUGGUAGCUUAGAUUUGGCUUGCUUUCCAUAUACAAUAAAUGCUAUUUGGUUUUGCUUUCCCCAAUCCAAUAUACAACCAAAGGUUAGCAAUAAAGGAACCAAACCGAUCAAAGUGCAUUGCUCAUUUGCAGUCUGUACCAUUUAUCAGUCAAACAUCUCAGAAAAUCUCGUAUAGGCAUUUUUAUAGAAAAACAAUACUUUGAUCUUUAUCAAAGACAAUUGUUUUAUGGAUUUACUCCAAAAGCAGAGUCCAAUAGUUACCAUUUACAGGUUGAGAUUCCAUACUCGAUAAAUAGCUUAAUAAAUCCUGUUCAAGAAUCCCUUACUUGAAAUCAGGUCAAAUUCAGAUUUGGACUAUCAGAUCCUCAGGGUCUUUGGCACCUGUAAAUUCAACCUUUUAUAGGCAUCAAAACUAUGAGGUGUUGGCAGUGAUAUGACAUUUACAGUAUGCUGACAUGGUUUCCUCGUGUCAUGCAGAUGCCAUCUCGUAUAAAGAUAAUAAAUGCAGCAUCUAGUAGGGUCCAAGUUGGUCCAUAAAUGAUGCACUUGGCAACACUUGGAUGACACGUCAACUUUAUGUUUGUCACCUGGCACUAUAGGAUUGGCAUGUCAGCUUACAUGAUUCCAUGCGGAUGACAGAUCAACUUGACUGCCUUGAUGUUUGUUACUCGGUACCACACAACAUGUUAGUUAGCACCAUUCUGUCGCCAUGAACAUUAGACCUUGGGCUAGGCCUUCCAAAUAGAUCAACUCCUAGGUGGGAAAGAAAACAGAGGCCAGUGUUAAAUUGCUAAACCACUGGUGAGGAAAGUGAAAAUUUCCCUUUGUAAUUAAUAUAUCAAUGCAGUAUAUUUAGAUAUUGCUUGAACUAUGUCUGUAAUAAUAUUUGCAUUCCCUGUUUUGUGAUUUAUUCUAAAUUUAUUUACAUGCUUUAAUAUGUUUGACGAGUAUUUAAGAGUGUUCAAGUUCAUCAUCCUAUAAGAUGGUAUGAAAUUCUAAAAACACAAUUUGAUAAUUUACUCGGAAAAUGAUCAGGUAAUUCCAUACAUUGAUAGUUGCUCUGAGCCUCUUGACUUCUGCCUGAGUGUAUAUGCUACCACCCAAGUGUAUAUUUGUUUUCACCCAUGGUUUACGAACCUAUUCGUUGAACAUGAUCUAUUCUGAUGAUGGAAAAAUACUCAUUUCAGGUCCCACUCUGAAAUCCCUCAUCCAACCAAAUUUUAGUGAUAUCAAUACCUUAGUGCUUUUUCUAUUUCUAUAGAUAGUCACUUCCUUUCUACUUGUCAUAAACCUAGUACCAUCGCUUACCUAGAACAAGUGUGACAAUUUUUAUUUCAACACGCUCUACUGCUAAUAACAUUUUGACGUUACAAACACAUCAUGAUGUGGCAUCAUGUCGUGCCCAUGAGUAGUAUGUGCGUGGUGGGCACAAAAUUGGUACAGCAAGUUACAAUUGUCAUAGGCAAACCAUGAUUCAGACCCACAUAACUGCAGCUAGUGUUCCUUUCCAAAGGAUGGAACAAUUGCACAUCCAGUACCUUGCUGGUUUAGUUGUGUUAUCAUGGCAGAAAAGCAUGAGUAUGGUGCAUGAUACUCAUCAUAAUGACACUGUUUUGAAGUAGUAGUUGAAUAUAUUUUUUCUAAUAUGAUCAUAUUGCUGAGAAGUUAGAUCAUUUGUCUAGACUGGUUGUGAACUAGUAGUUGUCUUUUCUUUCAUUCUUUUGCUCUUUCUUGUCGGUUUCUCUCAUGUUCUUGUUCUGAAAGAUGUAAAUGCAGUUCUUUUUAGUGUCCAUGGGUAACAUUCUUUCAGUGCAGGCAUUCCAUUACAAAAGCGUUUUGCAUUGCUUUCGUAUUGACGUUCUUCAGUGCAUUUGAUGUGCCUGUAUUUUGGCCUAUUCUGCUCUUCUACUGGUUAGUGCUGUUCACAGUCACGAUGAAGAGACAGAUUCUUCAUAUGAUUAAAUACAAAUAUGUUCCAUUCACCUUCGGAAAGCAGGUAUUUUAAUGCUUCUAAACACAGAUGAGAUAUCGUUCUCUUAAACAAGUAUCCUGAUUAAUCGUCUGAUCUCCUAUUUCAGCGUUACACUGGGAAAAAAGCAGUCUCCACCGAUGAUGCGACUCUUCCGAGCGAUUGAACUGCAUGUUUGUAUGUUAAGCUCGAAAGAAUCCCAAGUUGAAACCCUAGUUAGAACGAAGAGGUCAAAAUGGUCUAAUCAUUGUGAUCUAUAUUAUGCUAGGAGCUUUCUAUAGUUCAACCGAGUUGGAAGAACCUGAUGUUGAGUGCUCUGUUACAUGUCAAUGUGUGAGGCUUACAGAUUCCGAUGGGUCUUCUGGUCUCUUGCAUUUUGUUUUACCUGUUGAACAGCAGCUACAUUUAUCAUUCAGAAGACACCAUAUGUUUUGAUGCUCUUCGUCUUCCUACAUGUUUGUUAUUACUAGGCACAGAGACAGCAUCAACUUCGUUUCUCCAAAUCUUUACUUAGGCUAUUUGUUACCGCGUUGAAGAGUGUAUUUAUGUUCUUUCCAUAACAUCGAAUUGCGCGAGUGGAUUUCAAUCUUUUCAAUUCGGAUUCCAUUACUAUAUAAUUAAUUCAUUAAAGGAAGAAAACAAUUUAAUCUUUUAAGGAUAUUUUAGGAAAAAUAAACUUCUCCCCUUCCCAAUUGUGUGGACUUUGGACAGAAUGAACUUUCUAGAAGAAAUAACAUAGAGAAGUUCCAAGACUUUUCGUGCAGUUUGAGGGCGUCACGACCUUUCUUCGCGUUCAUCCCAUCGAUUUCCCGCAUUGUUUCCCCUCCUCCUCUUAAUACGCGUUGACUUGACUUUCGGGUCGUCGCUUCUCCCUUAUUAACGUUUCUUCCGUUAAUAAACUCCCACCUUCUCUAUCUCUUCUCGCCUCCGAUCUCAAUGUCGUCCGUCUCUGGAAUCCAAGGCCACAUCCUUGAGGUCACCGGUAACUCCGCCUGAACCUUUCCCCCUUCCUCGUUUUCGUUAAUCCUUCUUGACGAUAUGUGUAAUGAUCAUUCUCUCUAUUCGAUUUUGUUGUUGUUGUUGCUGCUGCUGCUCUGGGGGGGAAGUGGUUGGGUGCACCAAAUUGAGGGACACCGAGCUGUUCUCCCGCCAAGAUCCUUACGUCUGCCUUGAAUACGCCAAUUCCAAGUUCCGCACUCGCACCUGCACAGGUUUGUUCUUUGAUUCAUUCCCCUAAUGUUUUCUUGAUCUGAUGAUCGGAAGGCGCUUAACAAAAGCUGGAUUUGGGUUCCCAGAUGGCGGCAAGACCCCCACGUUCCAGGAGAAGUUUCAGAUACCCCUCAUCGAGGGGCUCCGUGAGAUCAGCGUGGCUGUGUGGAACAGCAACACCUUCACCGCCGACGACUUCAUCGGCAGCGCCAGGUUCCCAUCUUGUCCUCUCCCUUCAUCCUUUUCUUACUUGGUAUUUGGUCGAUUCCUCGCGCUCUCUCUCCCUCUUUCUGUUAAUCAAAUUAAGGCUUACUCGGUAAACAUGCUCAAUUUGUUCUGCUCCUAUAACCGAUCGUGAUCCGUAGCUUGUUCUUUGCUAGUCAAAUUAGGGUUUCACCAUUUAGACGAUGACAUCAAUUGGUUUUCCCUAUUUACAACCUGGCUCAUAGUUCAGCUAGAUUGGCUAUGAUCUCUGUGAAUCAAGAUACUGAAACAUGGAACUCGAUCCUUCUUGUGCCCAGGGUUCAAUUGCACAAGGUCCUCUCCCAGGGUUAUGAUGACACUUGUUGGCCACUCCAAACCAAGAAUUUCAAGUAAAGACUGUUCUCUCAAUUUUUGCUACUCUGCUAUUAGGUUAGAGCUUUCUUCCCAUCAUAUUGUUUUUGCAGAUUUGCAGGAGAGGUGAAGCUCAUCAUGCACUUCCAAAAUGCAUUAGUAAGUUCGGUUCGAUUAUUGCUUGUAAAUUCCCACUAGAGAACACAAGUAACUUCAAUUUGUUGCAUCGAUGAGCAGCACAAGACCCCCGCACAUUGUGCUCCGUCCGCCCCACCUUACAUGUCGCCGCCGCCGGUGAUCGCGGCAUAUGCCCCUCCUUAUGCUUCUCCUUACACAGCUGGAGCUUAUCCUGGAGCUGCCUCAUAUGCUUCGUAUCCCCCACCUGCGGCAGCACCGUAUCAGACUAGUGUAUAUCCAACUCCACUACCGCAACAAUUCUACGCACCCCAAUCGUAUCCUCCUCCUUCCUAUCCGCCGCAGCCCUACAUGCAGCAGUACCCCCCGUCGCCGGCACAACCUUACUAUCCACCAGGUAAGUCUCAAAAGAGGAGCAUCGAUUGAGGAGAUUCCUGAGCACAAUGUAAUUACCUGGAACUCUUUUUGCAGGGCCUUACCCGGGUUCUUAUCCUCCACCUUACUGAUUGGGAGAUUAAUGGUGCUAGUCUUGCAAUUCAUUUCUUCUUCGUGCACCUCCAAAUCAAGUGGUGGCUUCACGGUAGAUGAUUUCACAGUUAUGUUUCUCUCCUUGUUUGGUGAUUCAGCUGCGUACCUGCGGAUAAAGUUAAUACUAAUUUUUGGUGAUUCAUAUGCUUCUAUUAUUAUUAUUUUUUUUACUUUUGUCUUUGAAUUUGAAAUUUGGAAUGCAUUAAGUGCCUAUCUUACUCUUCAGUUUUAUUUGAAGCCAUGAAGGCUCUUUGGGUCAUAGCGUUUUGUUUGCAAGUGGAUUGCAACCACGAAGUCCCAUCCCUACUUCUUCUCCUCCUCUCAGUGGUUCAUCACAACCACUUGUUCCAGAACACCCCAGUCGUCUUCCUUUUGUUUAGCUCAUGGCUCUUGCAUUCACGCUGUGUCGGAGGACAAACGAGUGCAGAGCCGCAGCAGCAUCGGGCGCCGAAGCCGGAAGAGUCCGACCGGAAAAAGCCGUCGAGGACGUGGCUUUUAUCCUUAGUUUCGGAAGGUUUUGCCUUGGUGGUAUCUCUAUCCGGUAGAUUCACGCAGCCGAAGGACACUAGUCUGUCACUUUUGGCUGUGUGUUUGGGAAGACGAUGAGGUAAAUGACUCGAGUGCGUUCGAGCCCUGUGGGGGAGUCUGUGUCCAUUCUUGUCCCCUUCUGAGCGGUUCUUUUUCAUGCUCGAUUAGUAAGUACAUUAAACAUACCUCUUCGAUCUGGAGAUAAAUAAUGUCGAAUUAACAGUGCUUGUGAGAUCUGAUAUACUACCACUUGCCACUUGGUAAACCCAAACUAGUUUCUUUGGUAGAUGCUUAGCGGCGGGGAACAAUGAUUUGAUGUUGUUGCUGUUCGUGCCCGAGAUGGGUGGAAAUCAGAAAUGAAAAGAUUGCUUGUCUUAUUCUCUUGGAAACAUCCCUGUUAUACAAACUUGAUUGAGCCAAACAGAGAAUAGAUACAUGCAAAAGGCUAAAAAGUGAAAAGUAGCACAGGCACUCCGAGUACAAGGCAAUUUAACUUGCCUGGAUUCAUUUCACAUGAUGUGUAUAGCAGAUUUGCAGGUACAUCUCUUAAUAGCUUUACUAUUAUGUGCAGUCGAGUCAAGUUUUCACGUUCACCAAUCGAAUCCAGCAAACCAAAUCAAGGAUCUCUGUUCUUGGAAUCAGUGUGUGGAGUCCUCCUUCUUCAUCUCCUAGUUACUUUCUCUUCUUCCAUCCCUGUUUUAGCUCAAAUAGUGUUGGGAUCUGAAGUUACAGAUGAAGUGAAUGUUCUCUUCCAGAAGACGGUUGAAGUAAUCUGUUCAUUCACGUGCCAAUACUACCUACAGAUCGAUAGCUCAAUAGGUCCUUUUCCUGUGUCACUUUCCUGCUACACAAGAAAGAGAAAGAGGAGGAGAGAGAUGGAUUGCUGUGCUAUCACCAAAAUGAAAUGGAAAGUGGUGUAAUAAUUGUCUAUAGAAGACAAACCAAAUCUAUGGAGAAUAAUAGACUCCAGAAAGUCCCAACCUCGAUCAAAAUUGAGUUGCAUGCAAUGACAGUGACGCAGGAAUGCCAUCAAACCAAAGACAUGGAAUUUUCCCAAUCAUAGCAUCAACUUGGUCACCCAAAUCUUGGUGGCAAAAGGGCAUAUGUAUUGGAGAGAGAGAGAGAGAGAGAGAGAGAGAGAUGUGCAGAGUGGUUUUAUUACACAGAUUCUGCAAAGGAGAUAUAACCCAUAAAGAUUUGCCUGUUUUGGGGGGAAAGAAGGGUGAAAAGGUCACAACCUCAGUCCAUCUACAAUUGUAGGAAGACAAAAUUCACUUGCCUCCAAUUGAUCAUACAAAUCAAUGUAAACCCUCUGAGACAUUAUAACCUACAACAGUUGAGGCCGGGAUGCAUCAGCCACAAACAGCAAGGCCAUGAAAAGUUGUGCUGCCUCCAACCAUUGGCACCUCCCAACACUGUCCCUUUGUAUUGAAUAAUAAUCUCAUGCAUCAAAAGCUCUAUACAAAUUAAGCAUCAUAGGCUAAGCCUACCUUCCCUGCACCCAACACCAGACGGUGCUACUUCUCCCAUAAAGAUUCCCAACACUUGACCAUCGUAGUAAAUGCAUGGUCCCUUCAGCCCUCCCUCUUCGAUCUCUUUCCGCAAGAGAUGACAUAGGAAGUGGAAGAGGCCCAACAAGCACACUAGUCCUUCGAGAACGUGAGCAAAUCCUCCACAGUUAACGCUGAUCUCAUGCGGAGAGUGAGAGGCAGAACACCAGAAGACAUUACAUCCUUCCUCCUCCCUCUUGUCCUUGUUUUCCUUGGAUCCACCUUCAUCGGCUCACUAGGUUUGCCGCCCAUAUCCCGCAGGUCAAUCCCCUCUCCCAUGUCUUCUUUCCGACAGCAAGAUUCCCCUACAGCCCUUUCCCUCCCUCUCUCUCUCUCUCUCUCUCUGGCUUUUCCUUUUUUCCCUGCGGUGUUGCCUGGGAGGGAGGUUGUUUUGACUAUUCUUUCUGUGUCUGUGACUUGGUUCCAGGUUAAAGCUUUGAGGCUGCUUCAGGCAGUGGAUGCCCUCUCGAUGAGCUGUGGUCUUAUUUUAUAGCUUCCAACAGGCUAAUCCAAUCCCCUCCUUUUGUUUGCUCUCUUCCCCAUGACCUAUCUCACCUCAGAGUCACAUGCAUUGUUCCCAGCUGAAGCUCCAGUCCAGUUUUUUUCUUCCUCUCUUGGCUUAUAGCUCAAGGUUUUUUGAGGCCACCCUCCCCCUGCAGACAUACGUUCCAGGGGUUCGUUCACAUCACAUCCCUCUUCUUCUUCUUCUUCUUGUAGCAGCCACUGAGACAUGAGUUGCUCCAAAGCAUCACCAACAUGAGCUCACAAGGGAGUAGGCUGCAGAGCAAAUGGCAGGCUACUACUAGAUCUCUUCCACCGCUGCUGACGCUUCUUGUCCUGGUAAGCCCAGUGCUGGCCCUCGGCCAAGAUGGAGUGCUGCUGCUCAAGUUCAAGUCCUCCAUCCUCAGCGACCCCCUCGCCGUGCUCCGCGACUGGAACUACUACGACGCCACGCCGUGCUCGUGGAAUGGAGUCGUGUGCAUGGGUUUCCCGGACGCAGCCGCUAUCACCUGGACUCCUCCUCCUCCUCCUCCUGCUGCUAAUACUGGAGGCGGUGGCAAUGUUCAGGUCCCCACGGCUUCCAGAGUGAUCGGCUUGGUCCUGCCCAACUCUCGGCUCUUGGGCUCCGUCCCCCCCGAGCUCGGCCUCCUCGAACACCUUCGCCACCUCGACCUCUCCGGCAACAUGCUCAACGGCACCCUCCCGCCCUCCCUCUUUGACGCUUCCGAGCUUCGCGUGCUCUCGCUGGCCAACAACGCCAUCUCCGGAGAGCUCCCGGAGCUCGACGGGCGCAUGAGCAGCAGUUUGCAGGUGCUCAACCUCUCCGACAACGCAUUGAUCGGCAGGUUGCCGGCGAACCUUUCUCGGCUGCCGAACCUCACAGUUGUGUCCCUCGCCAAUAACUACCUGUACGGACAACUUCGCGGCGGCGGGUUCUUGCGGCUCCAGUACUUGGAUCUCAGCUCCAACCUCGUCAAUGGCUCCUUGCCGACGGAUCUCGGUGGGCCGAGGCUCCGGUACUUGAACCUGUCAUACAACCGCCUCACCGGCGCAAUCCCGCUGGAGCUGGGGGCGACGAUUCCGGCCAACGCCACGGUGGAUCUGUCGUUCAACAAUCUCACCGGAGAGAUCCCGCAUGGCGGCGCUUUCGCCGCGGAGAAGCCGAUGGCGUUCGUGGGGAACCCGAGUCUAUGCGGGAGGCCGCUCAGAAACCCGUGCGCCAUCCCCUCCAUUCCCUCCACCGUCUCCGACCAUCCUAAUUCUUCCGUCGCGGCUCCGCAGAAGGGCAAGUCUCCCCCAGCCUUCGCGGCGAUACCCAAGAACACGGACGGGACCUCGCCUGCCGGUGGCGGGCAAAGCUCGGCAGGGCGAGGGACCCUCCGGCCGUUUGCUGUGAUCGCGAUCACGGUCGGGGAUUUGGCCGGCGUUGGGAUCCUUUUCGUAGUGUUCUUGUAUCUAUACCAUGUGAAGAAGAAGAAGAAGACGCAAGAGCAGCGGCAGCAGAAAGAAGUUGGAGGCGUAGGGCUGAAGAAUGAGCCGCCGCCAACAGCAACAACGGCAUCCCCUGAAUCCAAAACCAUAGGGCUGUUGUCUUGCUGUUUGAGAAAGAAAGGCGGCGGCGACGGAGGUGACACCGAGGAGACAUCGGAGACUUCGGGAUCCUCCGAGACGGAGGGAGAACUGGAAGAAGCGCCAAAGGGAGAAAAGGACGGUGAGGACGGUAGAUCCCACUCGCAGCAGAAGCUACAAGGGGCUACUCUUGUCAUGGUCGACGGCGAGACAGAGCUGGAAAUCGAGACAUUGCUCAAAGCCUCGGCUUAUAUACUCGGCGCCAGUGCGUCCAGCAUCGUCUACAAGGCGGUGCUCGCCGACGGCACCGCCUUGGCCGUCCGCCGCAUUGGGGAGGGCAGCGUCAUCGGCAAGUUAAAGGAUUUUGGUGCUCAGGUCCGCAGCCUUGCCAAAUUCCGCCACCCGAACCUCCUCCGCCUCCGGGGAUUCUCCUGGGGCGCCGACGAGAAGCUUCUCAUUCACGACUAUGCCCCCAACGGUAGCCUCGCCAACAUCUCUCUCAGCAGUAUGUCUCUGUCUUCUUUUGCCGUCUCUUUUCUACGAUGAAGUUUGCUUCAUGAAUCAGUGGAUUGAGUCCUGUGUACUUGCCCGAGUGUUUACAGAGAAGCUCGGCUCGUCGCCGUUGCAUCUGAGCUGGGAGGCACGACUCAGAAUAGCGAGAGGCGUGGCGAGGGGGCUCGCCUACAUCCACGAGAAGAAGUGCUCGCAUGGCAAUCUCAAACCGAGCAACAUUUUAUUGGAUUCAGACAUGGAGCCAAAGAUCGGAGAUUUCGGCCUGGACAGGGUAAUGUUGGGCGCGGGCGCGUCGGCCCGGCAAUUCGGGAGUAAGCGGUCGAUGCACUCUUCGAUCAGCUUGCCAGAUCUGUCCUCGGUCGCCGGAGCUAGUCCUUCCGCCGCAAGCGGCUCCUCCUCCUCGGCACUCGCACCUCCGCCGUAUCAGGCGCCGGAGUCCCUGAAGAACCUGAAGCCCAGCGCCAAGUGGGACGUUUACUCGUUCGGGAUGGUGUUGCUGGAGCUGGUUGCCGGAAGAGUGUUCUCGGAGGUGGAGCUCUGUCACUGGAACGCAGGGCUUGUGGUGGAGGAGAGGAACAGGCUUCUGAGGAUGGCCGACGCGGCGAUAAGAGGGGAGGUGGAAGGCAAGGAGGAGGCUCUGCUGUGCUGCAUCAAGCUGGGGUUCGCUUGCUGUGCCAUGGCACCUCAGAGGCGGCCCUCCAUGAAGGAGGCAGUCCAAGUGCUGGACAACAUCUCUCCGCUUCCGCUUCCGCAUCCACAGUCUGCCAACGUUCUGCUGUCGAAUCAUAGCAAAUGCAAUCCGUGAUGCCAUUGACCUUUCGACUGCAACACACACUGAUUUGUUCCUCUUUGAUGUGUUCAAUAUAUGAGUCGUUCUUCUUGUUUUCCUUAGUGUGAGUUGACGACCAGCCUUCCGUUUUGGUUGUGACUAAAUGAUUAGAUUGUGGUCACUCUGCACUGCUUUGUAUCGAUUAGGCAGCGAAGUAGAACUCAGAGUUCUUCCAUGUUUCCCAGAUUCGAGUCUGCAUAGUUACUGCCAAAUGCAGAUACACCACCAUCUUGCUUCACCGUGAAAAGAGAAGCUCAAUUCCCAUUCUUUUUUAUAGAGAUAUAUGACAAACUUUAAGGACUCGAAUUAGAUUUCUUUGCUCUUUCUUUUCGUUUAAGAUCCGUAGUCAAGGGAAGAACAGCUGCUCAAAGUCAUCCAUGCAACAGAGGAAAGAGCAAAAGAAGACAUAAAGAGGAUGGAACUCUUUCCAAUGUCAACAAGCUUUCUCAAGGUACAGUAUACUGACUAGAGCACCGCAUCAGUGACCGCUCAGAGCAAAGAAGCUAAGCAUCGCCAUCAAGAGACAGAGAGCAGCAUUGGCAACAUUUGCAGGCUGGCCACUCGGAGGAUGUUGAGUCGUCGGUGAAGUGACCGGCGCCUUCUCGACGAGAUCUGCCACCGGGGGCAGCGGCGGAUCCACAACGUCAGCGACCUCCAGAACUGGCGCAGGGGCUUCCGCCGGAGGCGCCGCGUCUGGUGAUGCCAGCGACAGCAAAGUACCGGGCUCUGCUGGUAAGAUCGAGUACGGUAGGUUGGCAUUCAAGUCAGAGCAUGGGCUCUCUGCAACAUCAAAAGGGCAUAUCCCAAGCACCAAAUCUUAGAUUGCCAAGACAGCAGCAAGAUUUCUCCUUGUCAGCUAAAUCGAAGUAAAAGAAGAUACUCACUGAGGUAUGCAGCUGCCGUGGCUGGGAACUCGGUCACGACGCCGUCAACUCCGACACCUGCAACGUACGUAGCAAGCUCCACCAUCGGGUCGGAGAAGUAAUCAAACGCUAUGGUCAAGAACUCGUUCCUCAGCACCGAGACGUAAACCGAUAUGUUAGCUGCGUGCAUCUGGUCAACCACGUUGGUGAAGGCGGAGACGAAGAAGCCCGACGCGGCGACGAUGGACGAUCUAGGAAGGUUGACCGCGUCAGCGAACUGCUUGAUCUCCUCCACUGUUGGCUUUGGAGCGUCGCUUAUCGUCUCCUUGACGUGGAGCACUCGCUGGUAUCCAGAAUUCUUCUUGAAUGCAGAGAGGACCGCGGUGUCGUCGGACUGGAUGUACACUUGCUUGUCGUAACUGGCAUUCCUCAACGCGGUGGAGACUGCGUCUACCGCCCCAAGUCCUUUCUUCGAAGCAAGGUAAGCUGCGUUCUGCAGGAUCAAGAUGACGAUGAGUGAAUGGAUGACUCGAACAAUCCAGAUCUGUGCAGUAUUCCAAAAAGAUGACCACCUCUAUGUUGAUCAAGAUUCCAGAGACGGUGCUCUUCUUCGCAAACUGCAAGAAGUCAGCCAGCGUCAUGAACUUGCCCUCACUUUUCGCUGCAGGAUUUCUUGCCAAGCCGGACUGAGACAUGGGGCUCGUCAAUGCCGCUACAGGAAGAUAACCAAAACCAUGGGAUCGACAUUCUCGGAAUUAGAUUUCUAAUGGUGAACAGAGUAAGGUUGCUUACGCUUCAAGCUUUGGAUCUCGCUCCAUGUGAGAUCAAAGGAGAAGAUUCCAUUGUUUUGCUGUAUCUCGGGAACCAUUGCCGCUCGCGGCAUGAACGCAGCAGCUGCGGUUGUGUCGCCCAUAAGAUCUGCCGAAUCCAAGCAAAAGGCAACUCCAUCCUUUGACAUCUGAAUCGAACAGUCAAGAACAUCAGCUCCAUCUUCCACUGCUCGUUGAUACGCGACAUCAGUGCAUCCAGCAAACAUUCCACUCGCACCAUUGUGUGUUAUGAUUAGUGGUCUCCCUGCUGCAUCAAGAUCAAAACAAGUAAAUGACUAGAAUUCUGUGAUCGUAAAUUGCCUUAUAAUUAACUAUGUUUACCUUCGGUAGGGAUAGGUUUAUUCUCGUUAUGUGCCAAGCAAGCUGCAGCAUGCAAACGAGACAGAGAUAGUAAGCAGUCUACAUCGACGGAGAAGCCAUCGACGGACGAGGAGGAUAUUGGUUACCUACGGCUUCUGAGGCCGUGGAAGGGAAGUCGGUAAGCACGCCAUCGACAGAGAAGUUGGAGUUGCUAAUAAACUGCAGGUACUCCACGGUGGGAUCAUAGCUGUAGUUGUAGCUCGCAGGGGCAUCAUUGGCGAAGUCAUAAGCGUAGACUUCCAAACCCACACCAUGAGCAUCUGUGACCAAAGAAGUGUGAGCCUCCAGAUACUGGUCUUUGUUGACAGGCCAUAUGUAGCUUUUGGGCACGAGAAUCCCAGAGGCAAAUGACUUGAUGGUGACAAGAUCGUUUAGGAGAGCUUGGUAUGUUUUCUUCGUGGAGGGCUCGACAUCAUCCACUUCCAUGAACCGGAAGAUGAGCUUCGUCUUGUGUCUCCCCGGCAAUCCGCUCAGACUCUUCAGGAACCCUAUUUCUGGAGAAGAGAUGCAAUCUAUGAUCGUUUCCCUUGAUACUGAUCUAAUGUAGUCCACUGCGUCCAAGUCAUGUUCCUUGAAGAAGGUGCUGUACUGCAUGCAGCAGAUUGGAAAGGAGUUAAUGUCGGUAACGCACAAGUAGCUGAUGAAGAACCAGAAAUGCUGUUCAUCGAGAUCAUGUACCUGCACAUUUACCCAAAGCUGGUAAGGGUGAAGCCCCGCUACAUCUUCCACCAUGGAUACCGGCAGAUUGCCAUCGAACACGCUUGGUCGAGAAAAGAUACUUUGGAUCACUUCAAAGCAAGAGUGGAGAAGAAACAUUAGAUGAUCCAGUCAGAUGAAUAGAUGGUGCAGUGCUGCACUUGAAGAACUGGUGUACUCACAUGUGACGUUGUUAUAUAGUUGAUCCGAGGUGAAAUCAAUGGAGAACCAUCCUUGAACAGGCCGCCCAUUCACAGAAUAAGUAGUUCUUCCUUUUGGGAAGACAGCUGAGAUGGUUGUGGAAUUAUCGAGUCUCAGAUCCGAGUGGCAGAUGCCAGCCCCAUCUUUGGUUAAUUGGAGAUCACAGUACAAAACGACGUUCUUCAAGCUUGUUGACUGUGCAAACUGGUACGCAAAUUGGCUUGAUUCGGGGAAGAGUCCGGAGAAGCCACCGCGUGCUAUGACUGCAGGAGCAUUACCUGCGACAUGGACAGGAAGAAGAACACAUUCUUUACACCUUGCAGCCUCUUAGUAUGGCCUAUUACGACCCUGAGAUGGAAGGAAGCCAUGAUCGUACCGCUCAAGGUCUGCCAUUUCGUGGGAGAAACCACAGCUGCUGCAGCUCCAUGGAGAAGCACGAUAAACAGAAGCACAUUCAGCUUCAUUCCUCCAGUUCCAGAGACGAAGUCCUGCAACUCAUACAACAAGAUCGCUGUAGGACGAAACUUGCUUUGUUCAUGCAGAUAUGGCAUCGGUAAUAAAUAAUCCAGAAAACCAACCUUGGGACUCGAAGAUUCUUUUGGUGAGCACCCAAAAUGGAGGCAAGGUUUCCUGGCUCCCAGGAAACCCACCACCUCCAGGAAAACAGAGAGGAUGUUAGAACAACGAUCCUACUCGUGCAUCAGAACACAUCAACGAAUUUAUUUGUUGGAAUGUGUGAGGAAAAGAAAAGGUAAUGGACGAGCUUAAAUUUCUCCCCGUCUUUCCCUCUCUCUUCUCUUGGAAAGGCACUUGUCCUCUGUUAGGCAUCCGCCAUCCUAUAAGCUCUCGCCCUCGCUUUUUGUGGAAGGCGUGGUGGUUUGACCUGGUCAACAUCUUAUGCUGAUGAUGAUGCUAACCAUGUAACGGUAUCUCCGUUCAAAGGAUGACUCGACCAUGCCGUGUAGCAGAAUCAUUAUUAUUAUUAUUAUUAUUAUUAUUAUUAAAGAACACGUGGCAUGGUUAACGACCGAUAGAUCCACGAGCCCAAGAAACAGAAGAGCGUCGGCUCGAUCGCAUUCAAGUUGUAUAUAUAUCAUCUCGAAGCUUCGCGAUACCCAAACCGUUCCCUUGCUGUUCUUUUAGCUCUCCAUCAUCUCUCCUCACUCGGAGCCGUCGACGUCCUCCGCCCUGUCGUCUUUCACCCCAAACCUAAUCUCUGGGUGCCGCCGCUGGCGAUAAUCUCAAGAGGUUGGAUCUUGUUCCAUAUUUCUUCUGCCUCCGGUAAUCUGGUUAUCAGUUCUUAGGUAUAGUCUUCUUGGCCGGUAGGGUAACUACGGUGGUUUGUUCUGUCCUUUUCUCGUUCUUUGGUUAAGGCUAAUGUUCUUUCUUGCGACAUGAUGCAUCCGAAGGCAGUAUUUGAUUUCGUUUGUUUGGUCUUUUGCGAUGUCAAUCGUCUGGCUUCUGGUAGUCUUGAUCUUUCUAGCACCCAUGUUUUAAUGGACGCCUUAAGGAAAAUUUCUUGUAGGGUUUGUACUUGCAAGAAUCUUGAUCUUGAUGCUCAGAAGGGAUCCUCAAACUCUAAUUGCUAUUGUGUCUUCGCCAUAAGUCGUGUUUGGUUUCUUGAUGUGUGUAUAUGUACAUGCAUCACGAUAAAUGAUCCCUCCCUUUUACCCUAUUUUAAGGUUGAUAACUUUUGUAUAGUGUAUGGCAAAAGAAUUUAGAUCUUCAAGUUUGGAAUUGAAGUCUAUAAUACAUUUCUUGUUUUGCAUCUAUUUUUUUAUCACAUUAUACGAUUGGUUCACAGUUAGGCCUAUAUUGAUGGAUUUAAAAAUAUGCUCAAAUGUUUUGUGCGUAGUCAGUCUUUUGAAAAGACGAUUGACAUCUCAAGAGGUCGGAUCUUGUUCCAUAUUUCUUCUGCCUCUGGUAAUCUGGUUAUGGGUAGAGUCUUCUAGGCGGUAGGGUAACUGCGGUGGUUUGUUCUGUUCUUUUCUCGUUCUAUGGUUAAGGCUAAUGUUCUUUUUUGCGACAUGAUGCAUCCGAAGGCAGUAUUUGAUUUCGCUUGUUUGGUCCUUCGCGAUGUCAAUCGUCUUUGUCCUCUCGUAAUCUUGAUCUUUGUAGCCCACACGUUUUAGUGGACGCCUUAAGGAAAAUUUCUUGUAGGGUUUGUACUUGCAAGAAUCUUGAUCUUGAUGCUCAGAAGGGAUCCUCAAACUCUAAUUGCUGUUGUGUCUUUGCCAUAACUCAUGUUUGGUUUCUUGAUGUGUGUGUGUACAUGCAUCACGAUCAUUGAUCCUUCCCUUUUACCCUAUUUUAAGGUUGAUAAAUUUUGUAUAGUGUAUGGUAAAAGAACUCAGAUCUUCAAGUUUGGAACACAAGUCUAUAAUUGGUUCAUUGGCAUCUAAUUCUUAUCACAUUAUAUGAUCGGUUCAUUGGCAUGUGUAUGUGUUAAUAGUCACAGUUAGGGCUAUCAUGAUAGAUUUAAAAAUAUGCUCAAAUGUUUUGUGCGUAGUCAGUCUUUUGAAAAGACGAUUGACAUGUCAAGAGGUCAGAUAUUGUUCACUAUUUCUUUUCCCUCUGGUAAUCUGGUUUUGAGGUCUUGGGUAGCAUCUUCGUGAAACGUAGGGUAACCGGCGGUGGUGUGUUAUGUCCUUUUCUCGUUCUUACUUGAUUUCAGUUUAUUUGGGUCGUUCACGAUGUCAGUCGUCUUUUGUCCUCUGGUAAUCUUGAUCUUUCUAACCCCCACGUUUUAAUGGAUGACUUAAGGAAAAUUCUUGGCAAACACAUGUUUGCUUCAACGUAGGAUUUGUACUUGCAAGAAUCUUGAGCUUGAUGAUCAGAAGGGAUCCUCAAAUUCUAAUUGCUAUUGUGUCUUUUCCAGAAGUCUAUGUUUGGUUUCUUGAUGUCUGUGUAUAUAUGCACAUGCAUAUACACAUAUGGUGGUCACGAUCAUUAAUCCCUCCCUUUUACCUUAUUUUAAGGUUGAUAAAUUUUGUAUAGUGUAUAGUAUAAGGACUUCGAUGUUCGAGAUUGGAAUACAAGUCUAUAACACAUUUCUUGUUUUGCAUCUAAUUUUUAUCACAUUAUAUGAUUUGUUCAAUGACAUGUUCAUGUAUAGAUACCCUCAUAUAGGCCUAUAAUGAUGGAUAUAAAAAAAUAUGCUCACUUGAUUUGUGCACAGUCGGUCUCUUGUUCAAGGAAAAUAUUAUGGAAUAAUGGAAGUCCAGAAUCUUUUAGACCACAUAUUGAUACAGGAUGUUUUGGAUCUAUUGACUUUGGUCGUUUUGGAUAAAAUCAUAGAGUUAAUUAUUUUAUUGUGACUUGGUAGUUUAAUUCUACUUUGAGAUUUAAGCUCUUGGUUAUGCCACCCUGCAUGGGAAAUUUGUCUUUAUAAAAAUGUUUGCCUUCUUCUUCUAAGUGUAUGCCAUUUCUCUAAGUCUUUAAAAUACAAAAGCCAGAAAACUGAAAACGUAGAAAAUGCUUUCCAACAUUGAAUUAAUUUUAAGAAAAACAAAGUAAGAACAAUUAUAUACACUGAUAACUUUGUCAUUUAAGAUUUUGCAUGACUUUGAAUGAACCAGCGUACGGUUGGUACUGAUUGUAAUAGGAGUGUCUUGAUUUUGAUUCUUGAGGCUUCAACUGGUGGAAUGUAGACAAUUGUCUUCUGCAUAUAAAUUUCCCAUUCCACUUGUGAGACAUCCAAAAAAGUUGUUCUUGUAAAUUAAUUUUCAAAAGGACAAAUUCUAUGAAAUAUACAAUUACGUUGAUAUCUUUAACUGAACCCAUAUUAUAUGAUUAUAUAACUGCUGUAAUUUGUCCAUGCUGUAUAUGCAUUUAACUUACUAUUUUUUGUGUGAAGCCUUCAACUGGAAUAUAGACAAUGUCUUUGCACAUAAAUUUCCUAUCCUGCUUGUGAGACCUAUAUAUAAUGUUUUUUUGUAAGUUAAUUGCCAAAAUGGCAACUUCUAUGAAAUAAUCAAAAAAACAUAUUUUAUGCUUAUGUAACUGCUCUGUAAUUAAUUCUCAUUGUGUGAAGCCUUAUAAACUUAGCAAGUUUAGUACUCCGUAUGCAAUUAACAUACUAUAUUUGGCUCAUUGUUGCCUAAAAGUUGUGAUACUUUAUUUGUCUGUACUGGAUUGAGGAAAAUUAUUUACUGGCAGAAGCUUGUAUCAUUCUACCUUAUUUACAUAGAUAGUCAACAAGGGUUCCAUGUUGCCUUUCGCAUAGCCUCACCUCUGAGAUAGGUGAUUUGUUUUGAAAGUAUGGCUUGAUAUGUUUUGUUUGCCUCAAUGCAUGUAGGAACACCAUUGAUUUGUAUUAGUAACGGCAUUUAGCUUCUAUGUGAUGCUAGAGAAUUCAUCUACUUGGUGAAUAACAGUGAAAACAAAAUAAGAAGGCACAGGAUUUUUACAUUUUAAACUGGUUGAAUGGAGGCUGCUCUCCAACUUGCUAAGUUCUAUUAGAUAAUUUUUUUGUACAGAAAGACAUUAUGCAUUCGCAAUGAUUGUACUUAGUUAUUGCGUAGUUUCUGACCCUAUAAGUUUGGACAAGUGUAAAGAAGGGAGGGAGAACUGUAUAUCUUUUGAAUGCCCGGAAAAAUUAGACUUAAAAGACAAUUGGAGUUUGGAAACAUGUAGCACAAUUUGUUUUUUGUCCUAAUGAUUAUCAAAAUAGACAAAAGAAUAUAUUCAAGUCAAGCAUUCAUGUAUUGCGAUGACAUUGUUCAAUAGUGUUGAUUAUUAUGUUGACUGUUUUUGCUCAACACUCAACUAAUAAAAUAUUACUUGAGGAAAAAUAUUUGCUCAACACUCAGCUUUUGUAUAUAUUACACGAGGAAAAAUAUUAGCUCAAUAGAAUAGCAGCAUUACUGUAUGCUGCUAUCCACUCAAUAGAAUAGCUCAAUAGAAUAGUAGCAGCUUAAUAGAAUUGUACGUACGUUGGGGUUAAUCCCUAGGACACCACCAGAUUAAUUUUUAGUUAUCCCGUCGCCUUAGAAAAGUCUCUGGUGACUUUGUUCUAGGUGUUUUAUAGACAGCUCUAGGGCAGUACUUGUCUUUCCUCUUAUGCAUGUUUUGGUUUCAUAAAUCACUGACAUAUGGAAGAAUAGCAUUUCCACUUCUUUUCUUCUAUGUCAAAACCUAACUAGUAUUUUUUGGCUGACAUUUCGAGGGGAGGUGAGGGGGACGAGGGGAUUGGGCAGUGGCGGGGGAGGCAAGGGGAAAGGGUGAGAGAGGGGAGGGGGACAGGUAUAAUAUCCCUCACUUCUGAAAUUUAUUUAUAAAAUUUUUAAUGAUUAAACUGUUAAAUUAUAAAAAAAUUAAAAAUUAUGAUUUUAUCCCAUCACCUCUCUGUUUACUCGUGCGCAUCUCUGUUUCCUGCACGAGAAAACAGAGGAGGAGGUGUGCGGUGUCAGGGAGGAGAAGAAGGGAAAAAGAGGAGAAGAGAAGAAAAGAAGAAGAAGAGAGGGAAGAGGGAGAGGAGAGAGAGGUGCUGCAGGCCAGGGUAGACGGAGAGGAGAGAGAGGUGUCUGCAGCUAGGGCUGCAGCACCUCUGUUUCCCGCAAGAAGAAACAUAGGAGAGGAUAUGUGGGGAGGAGAAUGGAAGAAGAAGAAGAAGGUGGCUGCAACACCUUUGCAUCCCGCAGGAGGAAACAGAGGAGAGGAGACGUUGUGCGUCGGGGAGGAGAAGAAGAGAAGGGAAAGAAGAGGCUGCAGCUGCAGCAAUAGCAGCCGGAAGAGAAGGAGAGGAAGAAAAGAAUGUGAGGAAGAAGAGAGGAAGAGGAGCUGUGGUUGCGGCUAGGAAAGAAGAAGAAAAAGGAAAGAAGGUAGUUGCGAUUGCGGCAGUUGGGAAAGAAGAGAAGGAAAGGAAGAAGAAGAGAGAGAAGAGAGGGAAGAAGAGGAAGAGGGGAAGGUGGCUGCGGAGAGGAUAGGUGCUGAAAAUGAAACAGGGAGAGGAGACUGAAAAAGAAGAUAGGUGCUGAAAAUGAAACAGGGAGAGGAGAUGGAGGAAAAAGAAGAUAGGUGCAGAAAAUGAAAGAAGAUGGGGCUUACACCUUCGGAUCAAAAUCUUCGAAAGGCAAGUGUUCUGAUCUUUCAUAUUGCAAGUGUUCUGAUCUUUCAUAUUGAAAGUGUUUCGAUCUUUGCUCCUGCAAGUGUCCUAAACCUUUCUCUACUAUGAUUUUAUCUCUGCUUUUGUCUUGAAUAUGAAAACUUUGAAUUGUUCUAGUCUUGUAUUUGGUACAUCUCUUGUUUAAACGUAACGAUUUGAAUUUGAAAAUUUUUGAGAUUCUGACCCUUCCACCUUUGUAGCUAUAAAUCCCUGUAUAAAUUUUCAAUUUCAAUAAAACUAGUUUGAUAUGAAUAACCUUUCUUUUGAUAGCUUAUUUGAAGGAUUUUGAGUAAAUUUGUCUGUCCAAACUUCUGUUUCAAUUAACCUUAUAGAUUAUAUAAAACAAGGAUCAUAGCUUCUGACCUUUCGAUACUGAUAGGGCAUAUUUUGGUAAACAAGGAUUAUUUUGCUAUUCACGACCACAUCAGCAUUAGGGUCAUCACGUCGGAUUGCACCCCUCGGUCAAUGUCGAUUCCGCAAAGGUCGGACGAUGCAAAUCGAGUAUCAUGCCAUCCCGUAGGAGUCGGGAUAGCCGCGACCGAGUACAGCGUCGUCCCAUAAAGAUCGGAUCGGCGCUGACCAAGUAUAGCAUCGUUCCGCGAAGGUCGGGACGACGUCAACCGAGUACAACAUCGUUUUGUGAAGGUCGGGACGACGCCGACCAAGUAUGACGUCAGACAAUCAUAAAUAUGAUAGGUACGGUUGGUCCAACGAGGGAAGGAUAAAAACCCCUCGUGGGGGCGACAAUAGAGGUGGUUGAUUUUCCACUCAAUUCUAACAAGAUCUUCAGAGGGGUCAAAAUCGGGAGCCGCCUUCCCGACCCCGACCUGUGUGCAGGGUUCGUUGACAAAAAGGAGGCGGUCAGCCAAAGGGUGUUUCUCGACUUCGAAGCCAGAGCCCAAGCCUGACCUCACCAAAGCACGAUCGCCAUCAACUGAAUGCCGACGUGGACAAUCCUACGCAUUCGAGACUAAACCAAGCCAUGCUGACUCCAUCUCCCAUGGUGUGAGGGAUCCUUAUUAGAUACUAAAUUACCUAUAAGUCCCUAUAGGAAACUCUGAUUUGUUCAAAACUUAUUUCAUUAGAAAUCAGACUCAAUAGAUCCUUUUUUUGAUACCUAGAUCGAAAGAUUUGAAGUCCAAAUAUCUACCCAGUUUUCUAUUGAAAUAUCUUUAUAAUAUAUUUUCAAGUAAAUUGGAGCAUAAUUUUAAAUAAAUUGAAUUCUUGGAUGUUCUUGUUUUGCAUGUUUUUAUUUUCUUUUAAAUUUGAAUGCAUUUGUGAAAGGCACAUGUACGUUUCGUUAUACUGCAUGUGCCAAUUUAUUAUUUAUAAUGCCCUUUUGUACUCUGGUGUUUGUGGGAGUAUCUGGAUCUUUGUUAGAAAUGGUAAAAGGAUUAUGCCUAGAGCCUGCGAUGUUUUGUCGAUGGUCAUCUAGAAAUGGAUGAAUUAUAUUUUGUCUUUAAUCCCACUACACCUUCUAUAUGUGAAUGCAAAUAUGACGUUUAAACUUUUGUUUCGUAUUUGUUCUUUGAUAUGCUUCGAAAUAGUUCAUAUGUCGUUGAUAUGCUCUGAAAUAUUUCAUAUUCUAUUAAUAUGUUCUGAAAACACUCUGUGCUUCAUUUGUAUUCUGCCUUGCAUUAUGAUACCUAGUUUGUUUGAAACUAUCUCUUUUCAUUUUGGAUAUGUUUAAUCACUUACUGAGCGUUUUAACUCACUCUGUUGUUAUAUAAAUCUUUUAGGUCAACUUGUCGAGAUGUUUGUACAAGGUUGAGGUAGUGGAGAGCUAUUCAAAAUUCUGGGCAAACCUUAUUAUGUAAAAGUGUUAAAAGAUCUCUCUCGUUUAGAAUUUCGAAAUGUUAAGUUUAAUUUACGAUGAUAUGAACUUGAGAUAAAUAGUUGAAGUUCUGAUUGUAUAAACUAUACAGGUUUUAUGGAUGUGAAGUUGAUUGAAUGUUUCUCAAUGUCUCCAAAUGUUAGAGAGGAUGAGGGUAAGGGGAGGGGAGGCAAAUGAUUGUAUAAACUAUACAGGUUUUAUGGAUCUCAUUCCUUCUCACACUGACUCCUUCCGCUCUUUCCCCUAGUCGUUGUCCCUCUUCUUCUGUCCCCUUACCUCACUCCCUCCAUCCUUCUCCUCUCCCUUGCCCUCACUCCCUUCGUACCCCUCGCCUCACACCCCCACUCCUUCUCUCAUCGCCCACCCUCUCACCUUAACCCUGCUCCCUCCCCUAGCCUCUGUCCCUUUUCUUCCGUCCUCUCGCCUCGUUCCCCCNNNNNNNNNNNNNNNNNNNNAUGCCCCCCCACCCUCUGCCCCCACUCCCUAAAUCCCCCUAACCUCUCUCCCUCUCCCCCUAACCUUUAAAGAUUAAAAUGCACUUAUAGGUUCCAAAAGAGCCCAAAAUUCUUGUGCAUUUUUAUCUCCUUUUUACAUUCAAUCAAAACUACUCAUUAGUUGGGAUGGCCUUUCAAAUUAUAACAUCAUAAUCUCUAUCAUCAUAGUCUCUAUUAUGCCAAUGACACAAAAAAACUAAUAUGACUUCAGAAACACAUUUUGUCAUCAUAAUAUCACUUGGACCAAAAAUUCAUAUCAGGGUUCUCCAAAGAGCUGAAGAGCUUAAUGGGAUUGGAGAUUGAAGGCCUCAUCCCACCCUUCACCAUUUGUGCUACAAGCACAAAACAGAAAAUCUAACGAAAAAUUACCACUCCAAAACUCUCAGAGAAGCUAAUCUGUUACUUCACAUCUCUAAUGGUCAAGGAAUUCAUGGAGUUGGACAUGACAGGUUGGGUUUUCUUUAUCCACAACAUGCAAGCAUAUGGAGACAUAUGCAGGCAGUCAAAAGAAAGAAAAACGGUCAAAAAAAGAGAGGAAAAGCUAGAUAAGGUAAAAUGUGAUGAUAAGCUGUAACUGAAAAUUAUAGCUGUACUACCAGAUAACCUUCACACUUUAUAAUUUUGCAUGUCACAAGUAAAAUAAAGAUAUCAGUUUGAUGUACAGUUCGAUCAUUCCUGACACAUGUAACUAUUGGACAGAAACCUGUAUCAAUUCCAAAAUAAUCACCACAGGUACAUGAUCUAAUAAUUGGUUAUACAACAACAGUCAGGAAUGCAUAAAAUUGAUGCUUUGCCAACAGCACAUACAUCAUAUUAAUAAUCCAAAGAUUUAAUUGAUAAGACAAAAUUAUAUUUAGUUUAAUCAUCCAAAUUUCAGCACACAUUUUAAAUACUAUUGCUAUAAGAUAUAGAAUUUGCUAUUCAUUGCAUACAUAAUAGAAGAUAACAAACUAAAUCUUAAAAUAUAACUACUUAGUUGAGUGUCAAUCUAUUAUUUAAUUCAAGAUGUGCACUUCAAUUUUUUCAAGUUGCAUAAUUCAUCUACAAUGGAGUCUGUAUUGAUAAUUUCAGCAAAGAAGACUUAACUAACCUGAUUAACAUCGAAGGCAGAACCACAAACCAAUGAUUUAAUGCAAGAAUAUUUUACUAACUUGAGAAAGCACAGACAAAGAAGGCAGCACUUUGAUUGCAGACGAGCAAGAAAAGCAAAGCAUCUUAUUUGUAAGCCCUAGCAAAAAUAUAUUGAUGGAAGAAAAUUAGAUUUGCCAAUUGAAAUUCCUUUUUUUUUUUUCUUGGGGAGUUCACAAGUUUUCUUCUUUUUUUUUUAGGUAUACUUUAAGAGAUCACUUAUAGAAAGAAAUCAAAAUCCGGUUUUCCUUCAAUCAAGAAAUAGGAAGGGCUUCUUUAUCACAGUCAAGCGACCAUAGGAGCAUGGCCUCCCAUAUGCUGGCAAGAUUCCUUUCUACGUGAUCCUUUUUGACAGAAAGAAGUCAGAUGAGGAUAGGGACCCUCACUAGUUGAAGGUAGGGGUAUAAACAAGAUUAUAAUAGAGUUUUGGAAAGCCAAGACACUGACAGCCCUUGGUGCCACCGAAGAAAGCCAACCAGGGCCUGAAUGACUCGAUUUCAGCCACUAACAAGAAUUCUAGAAUCAAAUCCAUGGACAUCGAUCAAAAAUCCGUAGGAGAUCGAAAGCGGAGGCGAGAGAAAAGAAACGAAGAGCAUGACAAGAAGUCUAAGGUUCAUCUCCGUAGACAUCGAUAAAAAAUCAACAAGAGAUCCACCUGCGGCGGGUCAAGAAAAGAAAAGAGGGGAAUGACCAGGUCUAAGAAUUAUCUCCAUGGACAUCGAUGAAAAAUCAAUAGGAGAUCCACCAGCGGAAGGUAGGGAAAAGAAAAGAAAAGAAAAGAAGAGGGCCUGAAUGACUCGAAUUCAGCUUCUACCAAGAAUUCUAGAUCUAAUCAGUAAAGGUCUGGUUGCAUCCACAAGAAGUCCAAGAUUCAUCUCCAUGGACAUCGAUCAAAAAUCCAUAGGAGAUCGACCUGCGGAGGGGCAAGAAAAGAAAAGAAAAGAAGAGGGGAAUGACAAGAAGUCUAAGAUUCAUCUUCAUUGGCAUCGAUCAAAAAUCACUAGGAGAUCAACCUGCGGAGAGGAAAGAAAAGAAAAGAAAAGAAGAGGAGCAUGACUAGAUGUCUAAGAUUCAUCUCCAUAGUCAUCGAUCAAAAAUCAAUGGGAGAUACACCUGCGGAAGGAAAAGAAAAGAAAAGAACAGGGGAAAAACAAGAGAAUCUUGAAGUUUCCAUGGAGGUACUGAGGAACACCGGAGAUCGACCCUCUCCAUUAGAGAUCCAGAGGAGAAGAGUACAAAAGCUUCCACUCACAAGCGUCGCCAGGAGCUACAAAGCCGUGACAUCCAAGAACUAAAUCAACAUGAAUGUGCAGGGCAAACCUAUUAGGGUAUUAUCUAUACACGAACAAGAUCUAAUCCGUAAAGAUCUAUUAGCUUGCUCAAGAAUUUCAAGAUUCAUCAUCAUCGAAAUCCAAGAUUAAUCCGAGAAGAAAGGAAAAAGGCAAAAUACGAGGGAAACCUUCAGCUUCGGCGGAGGAACCCUUCGAUGGCGGUGGGUAACGUCCUCGCUUCAUCCGAUCGAUCGACUCCCUUCCGCUCUCUCCUCCUCUUCAAGAUCUAGUUGGAGUUUCCUCCCCCAAGAACUCGACAGCGAGCGAGAGAAGGAAUAACCAACUGGGGCAAGACGGUUUCUUGAAUUGGACCAAAACCCAUAUAAGUAGUAGUUGGGCCAAAACGGCCGGCCCGGGUCGGGUUUUAAUGACUAAUGGUUCGGGUUGGACGGAACCAAGAUGCGGUGGGCUGAGAAUUCCAAUCUGGUAAUUUAAAUAGAUUAAUAAUUAGCUCAUUUUUUUUUAUUCGGUAAACCGACAAUAAAUGGUGCCAUUUAUUGUCGAUAAAUGGCAAGUGGCAGAAUGACUCGGAUGUGGACAUUCUUGUGUGACGGUGACUUGGCGCGAGGAGCAUUAAUGAGAUGAGCUGGUUUGCGGAAGAAGCAGGGUGUUCCCCUGCCGACAUCGAUCGAUGUGCUCUCUUUACAUUUACAUGUGAGGGCAUGUUUGCCUACAGAACGCAGAGGGUGGCCGUGUAUACCCACCACGUUCCCCCGCAUUCCUACAAACAAUUCAUCUGCACAUCCACCUCCGUGCAUAAACACCAUGCUUGGCCGUCCUCGCAUCAAGGAAUUGCCCGCUCCAACCCACGCUAGUCUGUUGUCGAGCUCCGACAACCCCCCACAACCACUCUUAUGCCUUUUCCCGCACCCACACAAAGCGCUGCGUGGUGCCCGUUUCAUCCCCUCUACGCCACCAACAAACGUACGCCGGACUGAUAAAGAUGGGGCCAAAAGCAUCAGUAAGCAAAAGGUGAUGAGGGCGGUGGGCGUGACGGGUGCGUGAGGCACAAAGCGAAAAAUGAGAGGACGUAAGUUGCCACUCCAUCAGCGCGCCUGUCGAACACCUUUCGGGCAUCCUUUAGGAAUACAAAUCUCUCAAGCAACGAAGGCAAAGAUGCAAUGGUGCUCGUUGUUUGAAGAAACCACGGCAAGGCCGUCGAGACACGGCCAUCACGUCAUCCGCCGCGUCAUCACCAUCAUCCUCACUCGUACGCCGGUUUGGGAUCUCACCGGGGCGGAAUCCCGAAGCACGCAGACCACGUGGGACGCCAGAGAACGAACCUGCUGUUGGCGCUUCGGGAACGUGGGGAUUGACGGGGCCCACGUGGAGAACCAACCAAGAGCACGGACAAGUACAUGAUGGCGAGCCUCGUGAGCCCCACGUGACGGGGAUGGCCUGCCGCGGGCGCCGAACGCCAAGUUUCCGCUAACAUGGUGCGUUGUAUUAGGCACGGAUAACCCAAGUGUAAAGAUGGGGGGGCUGUGGGAGGGAAUCUAAGCUGCACCUUCGUAGUUCUUUCGCCUGCCAGCCAAGAAGCUAUAUUAUAGUCCAUCUGAAUUCAAUAAUGUGGAAGUGGUGGACACGAGGAUGGCACUGUCAGGGGGACCAGUGGCGAUGUCUUGGAAAAGCAAGCUUUGGGAUCUCGCUGCAGCUCUAAUCGGGGCAGGCCACCGUGACAGCUCAGAAGCAAACGAACAACGUAGGUAGAUUUUGACUUCAGAUGACGAUGCUACGUAAUGUGUAGUAAAAAACGAUAAGAAAAGGAUGGUGGUGCCCGAGACGGGGAGCAUGGUCCACCUAACUGCUUCCCUCCCACCACAUGACCGCUUUUUUGAAGUGCCCAAACGAUGCGUGGUGGCCCACCCUCACACGUGCGCCACGCUCCACAAGUGGGCUGCAGGUGCACGUGCUGCCCCAACCGUGCCCGUCGUUCUCUUUUCCCGGUCCUCAAAUAUCUAUUUCCGUUCACACGCGUUCGUGACGGGCGUUUCCCUACCCGCACCGUCCUCUUUCAAUCUCUCUCGUGGUCACGUUUCCCCGGUUGUCUCCUCGAACCGACCCAGUCGAAUUAAUUUGAACUGGUAGAAAGGAAGAGAAAUAGAUGCAUGUGGGCCGUGUGAUGCGGAGGCGAACGUAGUUGGUUCUUUGCACUGCUUCACAGCCGGGGAGGUCGGGCGGGCCAAAUCGCCAGCUGUGAGGGGGGGUACACGACGUACGAGUCACGGGAAAUGCCAUCGCAAUCCAAUAUCCAUUAAUGAACUACGACAGAUAGCAACCGACGCUGCCCUGCUCGUUCGUAUAAUAAUGAAGUAUUGAUAGGCUUACUUCCAACAUGUAUCUCCCCUUGCUAAUUCUUCUAGAUGGAGAAUUAUUACUAAAUUACUCUUUAAGUGGGGGGACACCGUGUUCAUUAUAUUAAAUAACAGACGUACGUAGAUAUAAUAAAGGCGUAAGGAAGGAGCGAGGAAGGUCGGUAACAGGUGGUUUAGAAAGGAAGAGGGAGGGAGGGAGGGGUGUCGGUGUGCAGUCAAAUCUAGAGAUAGAAAAAUGGCAGUCGGUUUUUUGGCAGUUUGGAGAGCUUUCGAGUGUGUACAGGAGAAGAAAAGGAGAGGGUGGGGGGCAGUUAAAGGCUGCAUCUGACAGCUUGACAGGCUGGCCUGAACGGAUACCAUAUCUUCCCAUCGGACGAUAUAAUUCACAACAGUAACAUCAUCCAUCAACGGCGUUACUGCGUACUGAGUCGAAACGGAAAGGGACGAGUGAUACACGCGGGCAGAACUCACAACGGCGUUGUCACGGAAGGAAGGCGCUGUGAACAAGAUGGCGUUUGAGGGCGUUACGAUUCUGAUUCGAUGGGUGUACAAUUACCGUCUGAAACAUGGUGGGAAUCGCAACGAGGCAUCAUUGUCCGCACCCGUUAUGCGAUUGGAGAUCGUACGGGCCCCACGCGGCAAGCCGCUGACAAGGCACACGGUUGGUAGUGUCGUCGAGCAGACAAAGGUGGUGCCGUGGAGCAGCUAACGGAGAUGCGUGGCCACCGCCAGCUGUAUGCAAACGAAACCUGUGGGAACCGGACGAGCUCGCCAAGCGAUACCUUAACCCGGUCACCGUCGACCCUCUAUAAAAUCCCGUCUGUCUUCUUCGUGCUGCUACUGCCAUAACUCUCGCUUCCUUCAUCAGCCUCUUCUUCCUCUGGGUUUGAACAUUUGCUCUAACGUAGCAAAAUAACGGUCGAAAUAUUUGUUUAUUUCCUACGGUGGCCUAUCCUUCCCUAUUUUUCUUUGUAUUGAUAUCCUCCGGGAUUUUCGUUGGAAUCGCUUGGGGGUUUGGAUCGAUCGGUUGGAGUUUUUGAGUUGGGGGAGAUUGGAUCCGAUGGCGGCGACGACGACGACGACGGGGGGAAGCAGGAGCAAGGAGGCUGAUAGGAUCAAGGGGCCGUGGAGCCCGGCGGAGGACGAGGCGCUGCAGAGGCUGGUGCAGCGGCAUGGCCCCAGGAACUGGUCGAUCAUCAGCAAGUCCAUUCCGGGGCGCUCCGGCAAGUCGUGCCGGCUGCGAUGGUGCAACCAGCUCUCGCCCCAGGUGGAGCACCGCCCCUUCACGGAUGAGGAGGACGAGAUCAUCGUCCGCGCCCACCGCCGCUUCGGCAACAAGUGGGCCACCAUCGCCCGCCUCCUCUCCGGGCGUACCGACAACGCCAUCAAGAACCACUGGAACUCUACACUCAAGCGCAAGCACAGCCGCCCCUGCGCCGGAGAAGACGGGCUGCAGCACCACUACGACGCGAUCAUGUCGGUCAAGGCAGCGGAUAUGGAGGACGAGGCGGAAGCGACGAGACCGCUGAAGAGGGCAAGCAGCGACGGCCUGAUCCUGUUGUCGCGAGGAUCAGGGAUUUGCUUCAGCCCCGGAAGCCCGUCCGGGUCCGAUGUCAGUGAUUCCAGUCACCAUAGCUAUCCGGUGAUGCCGCCGCCGCACAUCUAUCAGCCGGUUCCGACAACUGGCCGCAUCGUGCCAUGCUCCUCUCCGAUCCUCAAACAGACUCAGGGCGAGACAAUCAGUGCUGCCGUAGCCCCUACAUUUCCCAACAACGACGACGAUCCAGCUACUUCCCUCACCCUCUCCCUUCCUGGAUCAUGUCAGAUGUCCACCUCCAAGGAUCGCAAGGUCCAUACCAUCUUCAAACCCAGUCACCAGAGCCAGCUGUCGUGCUCUGUUGCUGCUGCAGAUCCGCAGCAGAUGAUACCGGGCUUUUCCUCUGCAGCCACUUCCGCCGAGGAGGGGCGUCGGCCAGCGCCUUCUCCUUUUAGCGCCGAAUUCCUGGCGAUCAUGCAAGAGAUGAUCCGCAACGAGGUGAGGAGCUACAUGGCGGGACUGCAGCAGAGCCGCAUGAUGUGCGGCGUGCAGCCGCCAUCGGAGAGGGCCCGCAACGCCGCCGCCGUGAACCCCAUCGGAGUGACAGAUCUCGAGUAGGAGACGUUUUGGUCGCCGAGGAUUAUUAGUGAGCAAAGGAAUCGAAGAACAUCUUCGUAAGGAGAGAAGGCGGCUCCCUUCUUUGUAGUUGAAACCUUUCCUUUGCCCUGCUCGAACUCCUUCCUAAAUUUGGUUGCCUUGCUAGUGGAAAAAGAAAUUGUAUAGGAGAAAGACCACAAUGUUAAAAACACAAAAAAAAAGAGCAGUUUUGUCAUUUUGAUUUCAUUUUACUCGUUCAAAAGGGAAAAGUUGUGUGUUGAUAACAGUUAAGCGAGUUCGCGACCUGCCGCAUUCUGCGAUGGUCAUCUACUGUCUUCAUCAUGCAGUAUAUUAACAAUAAUUACAUAUUAGCGGAACUUUUGAAUUGAGAAUCUGAUCGAUUUAUUUUGUCUUAAAAAUUAAGAUUUAAUUUUUCUAUAAAUAUCUAAGUUUUGACAAAGAAAAAAAAAGUAAAAUGUGAAUAUAUAUAUAUAUAUAUAUAUAUAUAUAUGUCUUAAUAAAUAAAUUAAAAAAGGUGAUGGUGAUUGAGCCACACGUGAUCAACGAAGAAUAGUGCCACAUCUCUAUGGGAUAAAAAGAAUUGAAUCACACAUAUGGGAGAUAACUUAAAAGUCGUAUUUUAGCGCUGAUCUAUGUCAGAUACGCAAACAUCAUUAGAUAAAAACAUGCUAGAUUUGAACUUUGCCAUAGAAGAAAUGAAAUCCUAUCCCUAUUAAGCGGUAUUACCAGCAAAAAGCUUAAAUGAUAGAUAAGAGUAGAUGUAGGCAGAUGAAGCAAUCAGUUUGGUAUUGACUGCGGAUGGACCGAUGCACCAGUGCGGUAUUAAUAGAAGACAGUGAUAUUGGCGCGGCUCAAUCUGAGAAGGGUUUACCAUCGUAUCAUAAGUAAAUCCAAUCAUCAGAUUCAACCUCACCAAUACCACUUCCUUCAUCCACCGAGUCACCAACACUACUGACUGCGAUCACAACCAAUGAAGAAAGCAGAAGAUACAUGCCACGAUUGGGCUCAGCUGCAGCUGGAGGAGGUAGGAGAGGCCUGUGAAUCAAGAGGGCUCGACCAUGGAAGGAGACGACAGAAGGUUGUGAAGCAAUAUGGAAGGAGAGGGGAGAGCGCAUGAAAUAGUGAGGGAGGUGUCUCGGGAUUCUUAAGAAGGAAGUGCGAGGGGAAUGAUGCGAGUUCACCCAAUUCAACGCAGGAAGAUGUGUGCACGCUUGAUGUAUCUUUCUUGCGCAUGCAUGCCCGCCUGCAACAUUCGACGUACUCCAUUCGUUCAACUCUUCUUCCAACGUAGAGGGACGAGUACCACCGCGUAGUACACAGAGUGAGUUAUCGUCUCUCAUUCUUUUCUUACGCUCACGACGGAGGACAACGGCGUCAAAGUGGUUCUGCCAUGACACCGACAACACGCGGGGACACCCGCCGUUGGGCUGCUCAACCUCGCUGCUGCUUCUCCCUUUCGACCGCGCAUCAUCAUUAACUGGUUCGUCUUCAACAGUCCAAGAUACUUGGUGGAGAGGAUGAGUGUGUCAGGCAAAAGGUGGGACUCCUCGAGUUCCUCCUCGCUCUCUCCUACACCAAAAGCUGAUGCACCACCUUGGCGUGAAAGCGAGUUAAGGGAUAAAGGUUUAGAAUCCCAUGUUUGCAAUCAUGGCACACACGACGACUAAGCUGUAGGAAUCGACCUGUUCUUGAGCUCAAAUCGUUGUUGAUAUUAAAUCAGUGCAAUAGAUCGAGAAGAACAGGGUGAAUAAGGAGGCAUCCAGAUACAUUGUUAUUAUUUCUCAGUGACCCAACACGAUCAGCUCCUGGUCGAAUACAUGGAACAUAUCCGGGCCGCCCUCAUCCGCGUUCGCAUCGUGGUUGGAAGCUAAGGCGUCGGCGGGCCUUGCCGUUGCUUGGCUCACUGGUACGUGGAAGUCUGUGCUCUUGAUGGUGAGUCCGUCCGCCCCCACCGCCACGACGUCGCCCGCGGCCGAUCUCAUCAGCAGCAUGCAUGCAAGUAUUGCGAGGAUAGCCAUCGCCCGGAGGGAGGCCAUCGUUGUCGUCGCGGGUGGUCGCCGGUUGACAACAAGAAGAAGAAAGGCCGUGAGAGGGAAGGGAGGGGACGAAGCCAUUUUAAUGAGAGAGGGAGGGAAGCAGACCGACGACGGUUUCGGCCAUUCGAGGAAACGGGUGGCUGCAGU